UUUCUAUCUUCUCUCAUGCUUUUUCAGUCAACAUAUUAGCUCCAUGCUUUUCUUUUGCCUUUCUAUUCUCCCAACAACCCCAAACUUGAACCUUUAUUAAUAGCAUUCAAUUAUUCUCAACUCAACUCAAGGUAAAGAUUUUUCUCAAGAAGGUUUUCAAAGUGUUUCAGGAUAAGGUUCAAAAAGGGUAUAAAACAUUGUUAUCUUUACUUUGGGUGUUAAUUUGGCUAAAUAAGGGCUUCCAAAAAUGGCCUUGAUCAUAUGACACAAACAUGUAAUUCAAUCAAUCAUAAAGACUCAGGCAAAAUCAUUCAUGCUCUCAAAUGAAUAACAAUUAUAUCAAUCAAGAACUCUGGAGCCCAAGACCUCACACAACUAUGCUCCCUCAACAACUCAAAUACCAAUCAUACACCCUGCUUAGCAUCAUCAUCACAAUCAUAACUCAUCAUGCAUCUGUUCACACAGCUUGUGAAUAAUUCACCUGUAUAAAAGCAUGUAAAGCAAUCUCAAUUAUCAUCCACAUUAAAAAUCAUCAAGCACACUCAUCAUCCAAUCAACAAGUCAAACCAUUAUCAAAUAAGGUGUUCAAGCAAGUUCCAUAAAACCUACACUACUCAACAGAAUUCAACUGAUUCUAAAAGUUCGAAUUACAAAGGAAAAAGAAAAAUAAAACCCUGUUCCACUACAACCGGCAUCCAUCAGUAAAUGCCAUAUCAACCCAUGUUGUCAUCAGAGUCAUCAUCAUCUCCAGCCUCUACAUCCUCGAAGUCAUCAUCCUCCUCAUCAUCAUCCAUGACUGGAGCUUCAGCUGCUUGUUGACGGAUUGGCAAGCGUAGUAAAUCGUUCAAGUAAUAUAAUUGGUAAAACCCAAUGUCGUUCUUCCCAAGAGACUCGAAAGGCUUUCUCGUUCACGUGAAUUAAAAUAAUAUGACUUGAAAAUAAAAAUUAAUAAAUUGGGUAAGAGAAUAAAAUAUGAACAUGUAAAAGAGAUUGAUUCAAAUGACAAGAAGAAAACAAUGGAUGAAUAGAGUUGUUGGGGGUUUACAAUUUCAUCUCAAUCCGCUCUCUCUUAUCUACUCCUCUUGAAUUAUUAGCUUGAUUAAUUAAUUGUCAUGCAACUUUCUUAGCCUACCCUUAACCCGAUCCCUCGGCGAAAAGAGCCUAAUAUUAAUUACUGGCUUGUGCUGACGGAUUGGCAAGUGUACCAAAUCGUACAAGUAAUAUAAAUGGUAAGACCAAGUAUCGUUUUCCCAAGAGACUUGUAUGGCUUCCUCGUUCGCGUGAAUUAAAAUAAUAAGACUUGAGAAAUUAAAAUUUAUAAAUUGGGUUUGAGAGCAAAAAUAUUAACAUGCAAAAUAAAUGUUGAUUCAAUUGACAAGUGAAAACAAUGGAUGGAUGGAUGUUGUUGGGUACUAACAAUUUCAUCUAUUCCACUCUCUCUUACAUACUACCCUUGAUUAUUAGAAUGAUUCCAUUGUUAUGCGACUUUCUUAGCCUCCCCUUAACCCGAUCCCUUGGCGAAAAGGGCCUAAUAUCAAUUACCGGCUUGCUAUCCCUAGCCUCCCCUAGUAAUUAAUACCGCAUUAUAAACAGAUGUUAGCACAAUUGAUCGUCCUACCCCUAUCCCUAGGUGGUAUUGCAGAAUCAAGAGAUUACUCACCAGUUCAUGUCAUUACCGCACGUCCCCAUGUCAAUAACGACAAACAACGAUAUACCGAAUGAGUUAAACGGUAAAAGCUUUAAGCACAAAUGAUAACCCAACAAGAAUCAAUCAAAACAUAUGGAGACCAUAUAAAUAAUCAAUAGUUUCAAUAAGAGAGAGUAUCAAAAGAUUACAUUGAAUUCCCCAACAACAAUAGGGUUUAGUUCACCAUAGACAUGGUGAAACUAGAUGACAAAUGGAAGAAGAAUGAAAGAGCAAACCCUAGAAAAGAUGAAAAGAAGCCUAAGCAUCCAAGAGAUCCUCUCCAGAGAGCAAAAUUAGGUCUGGUCGUCUUCCCUUGUCAAAAGAAUGACUCUGAAUUCGUAGUAGGGGUAUUUAUAGGUGAGGAGCGCGUCAAAAUCAGGCCCAAGUCCAGAGUGCCACUGCCGGUCGGUUCAAGUGUGCCGCCCGACGGUUUCCCAUAACCUGCCGCCACCGCCCGGCGGUUUUCCUCGCCACCGCCCGGCGGCAAUCGCCAACGCCCGGCGGUUUCUCUCAGCUUGAAAUGCUGCCAACUCCUCGUCCUGGACCGCCCGGCGGUUUAAGUGUGCCACCGGGCGGUACGUCGACUCUUCAAAACUUCAUUUUUCUGUUCUUUUCUUGAGUCAACGACCUGUAUCUUCAACUCCAUUCUUCACUUUUCUCAAAUUAGCUUCGAAACAAUGCAAAACAAGCAUAAAAUCGCUAAAAAUAGCUUUUGACUCUCUCCAGACUCAUUUAUUGAGUUUUGCUUGAUUCUAAGCUCGUUCCGAGUAAUAAAGGGUGUAAUUUGGUCCAAAUUGACAUAUGAAAAUCACUGUUUUUCAACCUUCAUCAACACCCCAAACUUAGAAUUUUGCUUGUCCUCAAGCAAAACAAAACAAAACCAUCACACAAAACAAAACUUGGAUUUAUACUGUGUCAUCCAAUGCCUCAACAAUUCCAAGGUACAUGACAAAAUCACUCAAAUCAAUAUCUUUAGUGAAAUCCAAAAUAAGAUGCAUGCAUGCUUUCAAUCCAGAGAUUACACAAUAGAUGUUAUACACUAUGAAUGAUCAAUCCACUAAGCAAAAUUGUACUCAUGAAAUUUAACAAUUCAUACCAAGCAAGUGUUUCACUCAAUCACUCAAGUGUUUAAGGUGACACUCCAACUCUCUAUUGUUCACAAGUCACAUGAAACAAAAUUGUCAUUCAUCUCAAACAGUCAACAUCCUUACAUGCAAAUGCCAUCAAAAGGACUUUUCCAAUGCUUGUAUUGAGGUUGGGCUAACAAGAAAGAAUUGGUUUUUCUAGAAUGCAAAAUCCUUGAGUCAAGAGAGCUAUUAAAAUAUUCAACAAUUAAGCACAACUCUCUUCCUUACCAAUCUCUCUCAUUCCCAUCUUUUCCCUUUUCUUUUCCAUCGAGCUCUUCUUCAUGCUUUUCUUCUUUUCUUUUCUUUGUCUCGUGAAUUUUUCUUUUCACAACAUUUGAGCUCAAUGCUUUUUCACUUGCUUUUUCAACUUUCCCCCAACAACCCCAAACUUGAACCUUUUUAUCUCGUACAAUUAAGCUCAUCCCAACUCAAGGUAAAGAAUUUCAAAACAAGGGUUCACACACUGUUUAAGGCUAAGGUUCAAAAAGGGUAAAAUAAUUUUUUUAAGCAUUGUGGGUGAAAAUUUGGCUAGAGAAGGGUUUUCAAAAAUGGCCUUGAUCAUAUGACAUUCACAUGCAAUUCAAUCGAUCAUCAAGAUUAAGGCAAUAUCAUCCAUGUUUUCCUGUGAACAAUACAUGCAACAAUAAAAACUCUGGAGCUCAAAAUCUUACACACAUGCUUCCUCACACAAUUCAUUCAUACACCAUGCCUAGCAUCAUGACCACAAUCAUAAAUUCAUCACCCAUCUAUUUCCUGGAUAUCAACAUGCAUUACAACUAAAUUUUCUUUCACAUCAAAUAAUCAUCAAAAAGAUCCAUCAUGCACAUCAGUUAGUCAAACAUUUUCAGAACAAGUAAUAAAGCCAAGAAUACACACCAACAUUAAAAUUCAACCUAUUCUAGGAAUUUAAAAUGCCUGAGUGUUAGAAGAAAUUCUAGGUUGCCUCCUAGUAGCGCUUGUUUAACGUCGCGAGCCUGACCCAAACCUCAUGGAUCCACCAACAUCAUGACUAAGGCAAAUUGCUCCACAUCUCCUCCUACAUAGUGUUUGAGUCUUUGGCCAUUCACGAUCCAUCUCCUCUACUGAUCAUCUUCAGUUGAAGAUUCUAAUUCCACAGCUCCACUCUGGAAUACAUGUUUCACCAUAAAAGGUCCUGACCAUUUUGACUUCAGCUUCCCUGGGAAUAACUUUAGCCGCGAGUUGAAUAGGAGAACUAAAUCUCCUGGAUGGAAAGUUCUUUUCAUAAGUUUCUUGUCAUGAUAAAACUUCACCUUAUCUUUGUAAGUCUUGGAUGACUCGUAUGCAUGCAACCGCAUUUCUUCGAGUUCUAGCAGCUGGUUGCCUCGUUUCCAUUGAGCCUUGGCAGGAUCAAAAUUCAAAAAUUUCAAUGCCCACCAAGCUUUGUGUUCCAAUUCAACUGGGAAAUGACAUGUUUUUCCAUAGACUAACUGAAAAGGGGAUAACCCCAUAGAAGUCUUCAUGGCAGUUCUAUAUGCCCAAAGAGCAUCAUCUAACUUCUACGACCAAUCUCUUCUUGAAAAGGUGACAGUCUUUUCUAAAAUUCUUUUGAUUUCCCGGUUAGAAACUUCAGCUUGGCCAUUCGUCUGCGGAUGAUAAGGUGCAGCUACCUUGUGUUUCACCCCAUAAUGCUUAAGUACCUUAGCUAGCUGAGCAUUGCAAAAAUGAGAUCCCCCAUUACUAAUGAGGAUCUUGGGGGUGCAAAAACGCAAAAAGAUUUGUCUUUUUAAGAAUUUGAUCACAGUAUUAGCAUCAUUCUUAGGACAUGCUAAAGCUUCAACCCAUUUACUCACAUAGUCAACAGCCACCAAAAUAUAUUCAUUAUUGAAUGACGGAGGAAAUGGUCCCAUAAAAUCAAUACCCCAGCAAUCAAAGACUUCAACUUCCGAAAUUCCGUGUAGUGGCAUUUCAUGCCUCCUUGAGAUGGUUCCAGUCCUCUGGCACUUGUCACAUCUUCGAGCAUGAUUAUGAGCAUCUUUAAACAAAGUCGGCCAAUAAAAUCCUGCUUGCAGAAUUUUUGCAGCAGUGCGUUCUCCAUUAUAAUGACCCCCGUAAGGAGAAUUAUGACAAUGCCACAGAAUAUCUUCUGCUUCUGCUUCAGUAACACAUCUUCUCAACAAAUUAUUCGCUCCUAUCUUGAACAAGUACGGGUCAUCCCAGAUGAAUUGCUUGGCGUCAUAUAAAAACUUCUUUUUCUGCUGCCAAGUAAGUCCUUCUGGGAUAACUCCUGCGGCUUUAAAAUUGGGUGAAUCAGCGAACCAAGGUCUUUGCUGAAUAUACAAAAUAGUUUCAUCUGAGAAUGAUUCCCGGAUUUCUUUUUCCUUACUUGUUACUUCCUCAUUGACUAACCGGGACAGAUGAUCAGCAACUACAUUCUCACUCCCCUUUUUAUCACGAAUUUCAACGUCAAAUUCUUGUAACAAUAGUACCCAUCUAAUCAAUCUUGGCUUUGAAUCAGGUUUCUUCAGUAAAUAUUUUAUAGUUGCAUGAUCUAUAUAAAUGAUCACCUUAGAUCCAACCAGAUAUGAUCUAAAUUUCUCCAAUGAAUACACUAUAGCCAAGAAUUCCUUUUCUGUGGUGGCAUAAUUCAAUUGAGCCUCAUUCAGUACUUUGCUAGCAUAAUAAACAGCCCAUAUGGCAUAAUCGCUAGCAUCACACAUAAGUUCAAACUCUUUAUUCCAAUCAGGCGCCACCAUUGCGGGGGCAGAAAUCAGUCUCUGCUUCAAACUUUCAAAAGCUUGCAAACAUUCCGGACCCAUAACAAAUGGUGUCUCUUUAGCGAGUAAAUUGCUCAAAGGCUUUGCAACCUUUGAGAAAUCCUUGAUAAACCGUCGAUAAAAUCCUGCAUGACCAAGCAAGCUUCGGACUCCCUUAACAUUUGUUGGUGGUGGGAGUUUUUCGAUUACCUCAACCUUUGCUUUAUCAACUUCAAUCCCCUUGGCUGAAAUUUUAUGGCCAAGUACAAUACCUUCUGUCACCAUAAAAUGACAUUUUUCCCAGUUCAACACAAGAUUUGUUUGAACACAUCGAUUGAAAACUGCAUCCAAAUUAGACAAGCAUGUUUGAAAAGUAUCUCCAAUAACUGAAAAAUCAUCCAUAAAGACCUCAAUGCUCUUUUCCAUAAAAUCAGCAAAGAUUGCUUGCAUGCAUCUUUGAAAAGUAGCAGGGGCAUUACAUAAUCCAAAUGGCAUUUUUCGGUAGGCAAAAACACCAAAGGGACAGGUAAAUGUUGUUUUCUCUUAGUCAUCAGGGUCUACCACUAUUUGAUUGUAUCCCGAAUAUCCAUCAAGAAAGUAAUAAUAGGCUUGCCUUGCUAAUCUUUCCAACAUCUGGUCCAUAAAGGGUAGAGGAAAAUGAUCUUUCCAGGUGACUGUAUUUAAUCUCCUAUAGUCAAUGCACAUUCGCCAACCCGUAACUGUCCUUGUUGGAAUAAGCUCAUUUUUUUCAUUGUGAAUAACAGUCAUUCCUCCUUUCUUUGGAACUACUUGAACUGGGCUUACCCAUUUGCUAUCAGAGAUUGGAUAAAUAAUUCCUGCUUCUAGCAACUUUAAUACCUCCUUUCUCACAACUUCUUUCAUGACAGGAUUAAGCCUCCUUUGCGGUUUGGCCACAGGCUUAUAAUCAUCUUCCAUUAGAAUUCUGUGCAUACAAUAAGUUGGACUUAUACCGUUUAGAUCAGUAAUUGACCAACCGAUGGCUCCUUUAUUCUCCUUAAGAACUCCCACUAAUCUUCUUUCUUCCUCUUGAGAUAAUGAAGCACUAAUAAUGACAGGUUUUUUUUUCGGUGAUCUUCCGGGAACACAUAUUUCAGGUGUGAAGGCAGUUCCUUCAAUUCAAUCUUAUUAUUUGGAGCUUUUUUUGUACAGUCCAUCUGUUCGAAGGGCACUUUUUCUGGUGAAACUUCUUUCGCCGCCUCCAGUUCCUGUAUACAUCUCUGAUGGGCUAUAUCCUCUUCCUCAUUCAGAUCCUCACAUUCAUUUGUUAAAGUUCUUUCUAACAUGGAGACAUUACAAACUCUAUUCUCUUAAUUCAUACAGAUUUCCUCCACCAAGUCCAGCUGAAAGCAUGAAUUGUCGUCCUUGGGAUGUGACAUAGCUUGGAACACAUCAAAGUUCACCUCUUCAUCUUGUACCUGGACCUUAAGCUUCCCUUUUUCCACAUCAAUGACAAUUCUAGCGGUUUUCAUAAAUGGUCGUCCAAAAAUUAGAGGUGCAUCCCCAUUUUCUCCCAUCUCCAUAACAACAAAAUCCACUGGAAACAAGAACUUAUCAACCUUGACAAUCACAUCUUCAGCAAUCCCGAAAGGGUAUUUGAGGGACCUGUCAGCUAAUUGGAGAACCAUUCUUGUUUGUUUGAGCUCUACUCCUUUUAACUUUUUAAACAUAGUUAGAGGCAUCAAAUUUAUGUUGGCUCCAAGAUCAAUCAAGGCUUUUCCAACCUCUAGUUCGCCAAUAGCACAAGGAAUAGUGAAGCUUCCAGGAUCAGAGGAUUUAUGAGGUAAUGACCGUUGAAUGAUAGCACUGCAAUUCCCUUCUACCUCAAUUGUCUCUUUCUCAGCAUAUGCCCUCUUUUUCGUAAUGAUUUCCUUUAAAAACUUCGAAUAAGAUGGUAUUUGGUGGAUGGCUUCGGAGAAAGGAAUGGUUAUUUCUAAUUUCUUAAAAAUUUUCAUGAAACGAUCAAAUUGUCGCUGUUUAUCUUUUCUGGAGGAUAUUUUUGGGUAAGGUAGAGGUUUUCAUACUCCUUCUCUUUGAGCUUCUCAUCUUCAUCUUUCUUUUUCUCGUUCCAAAGAUUUUUUUCUUCCUUUUCUUCCCUCUGAUUCUUUUCUUCUUCUAUACUUCUUUUAUCUUCAAUCUCUCUUUCUUUUACAAUUCUUCCAUUUCUAGUAACAAUUUCAUAAGCUUCCUCCCCCUAUCAUCCUUCAUGCAUUCAUUAGUACAAACACUUGUCUUCAUAAUUCUCUGGAAAGUUUCUUCAGAUUAUGUACUUCUUUGAAUAGGGUUAAAGUGGAACAAUUGUGGAGACUAUGAAGUUUCUAUGCAUGUCUGUGAUAACUCAGCAAGUCUUCUUGUUAUUUCCUCCAGCUGCUAUGUGAUCAUAUUAUCUUGAACCAUUGAAAGUUCCUGAAUAACAUCGUUCUGCAUGUCAUGUGCUUCUUCGCUUUUCGCCACAAGUUCUAUCAAAUUAUAGGCUUAAUCUUCAGUCUUUUUAUUUAUACUUCCUCCCGCUAAAGCGUCUAUCACCAUUUUCGACUGGCGGCACAGGCCUCCCAAGAAAAUAAGCACAUAUGAAGCCUUGUCAAAUCCAUGAACCGGAGUCUUCCUAAGCUAGCCUUUAAACCUAUUCCAUGCCCUUCCAAAAGUUUCUUCUCUUCCCUGCUUGAAUGAGGAAAUCUCUAGCCUUCCUUGAUUGAUCCUUGCAAGCGAAAAAUAUUUAGAAAUGAAUUGAUGUCCCACAGCUUCCCAAGUCCUGAAGGUUCCCUCCGGGAAGGAACUCAACCAGUCUUUUGCAUUUCCUCUAAGAGAGAAAGGAAACAAACUGAGUUUAAUGCUAUCAUCUGACACUCCAAUUAUCCUCACUGUGUUGCAUAUUUCACCAAAGACUGUCAAAUGCGUGUAAGGACUCUCAUUUGACAACCCAUGGAAUUGGUUGCUCUGAACUAACUAGAUAAGUGUCGGACUCAUCACCAUGCUGGUUGUGUUGUCUGUUGGCACUGCGAUGCUGUUAAAAUUUAAGGGACCAACUGUGUUAGCUGUGUCCCCUAGAGUGCGUCUGGGAGGAGGUUGAUUGGCCACUCCUCAAGAUUUGGUUCAACGGUCUCAGGUGGAGUAACUUCUGGAGAAAGAGAUUUUCACAAAAAGGGCGUCUCUUUCUCCUCUCGUAUGGUAGACCUUCUAGCAAAGGUUGUUGGUUUUUCCUACUUCUAGUAUGUAUUGUCUCCUGCAUGCACAAGAAACACACCCUAAAAGCACUUUUAAAGAAAAAGACAAAACGCAAUAAAAGAAAAAUAAACAAAAAUAAUUACAAUCAAGUCAAAUUCAAUCAAUUCACACUACUAGAAAAAUAAACCUCGAGUCCCCGGCAACGGCGCCAAAAAAUUGUUGACGGAUUGGCAAGUGUACCAAAUCGUACAAGUAAUAUAAAUGGUAAGACCAAGUAAUGUUUUACCAAGAGACUCAUAUGGCUUCCUCGUUCGCGUGAAUUAAAAUAAUAAGACUUGAGAAAUUAAAAUUUAUAAAUUGGGUUUGAGAGCAAAAAUAUUAACAUGCAAAAUAAAUGUUGAUUCAAUUGACAAGUGAAAACAAUGGAUGGAUGAAUGUUGUUGGGUACUAACAAUUUCAUCUACUCCACUCUCUUACAUACUACCCUUGAUUAUUAGAUUGAUUCAAUUGUUAUGCGACUUUCUUAGCCUCCCCUUAACCCGAUCCCUCGGCGAAAAGGGCCUAAUAUCAAUUACCGGCUUGCUAUCCCUAGCCUCCCCUAGUAAUUAAUACCACAUUAUAAACAGAAGUUAGCGCAAUUNNUCGUCCUACCCCUAUCCCUAGGUGGUAUUGCAGAAUCAAGAGAUUACUCACCAGUUCAUGUCAUUACCNCACGUCCCCAUGUCAAUAACGACAAACAACGAUAUACCGAAUGAGUUAAACGGUAAAAGCUUUAAGCACANAUGAUAACCCAACAAGAAUNAAUCAAAACAUAUGGAGACCAUAUAAAUAAUCAAUAGUUUCAAUAAGAGAGAGUAUCAAAAGAUUACAUUGAAUUCCCCAACAACAAUAGGGUUUAGUUCACCAUAGACAUGGUGAAACUAGAUGACAAAUGGAAGAAGAAUGAAAGAGCAAACCCUAGAAAAGAUGAAAAGAAGCCUAAGCAUCCAAGAGAUCCUCUCCAGAGAGCAAAAUUAGGUCUGGUCGUCUUCCCUUGUCAAAAGAAUGACUCUGAAUUCGUAGUAGGGGUAUUUAUAGGUGAGGAGCGCGUCAAAAUCAGGCCCAAGUCCAGAGUGCCACUGCCGGUCGGUUCAAGUGUGCCGCCCGACGGUUUCCCAUAACCUGCCGCCACCGCCCGGCGGUUUUCCUCGCCACCGCCCGGCGGCAAUCGCCAACGCCCGGCGGUUUCUCUCAGCUUGAAAUGCUGCCAACUCCUCGUCCUGGACCGCCCGGCGGUUUAAGUGUGCCACCGGGCGGUACGUCGACUCUUCAAAACUUCAUUUUUCUGUUCUUUUCUUGAGUCAACGACCUGUAUCNNNNNNNNNAGAGAGCAAAAUUAGGUCUGGCCGUCUUCCCCUGUCAAAAGAAUGACUCUGAAUUCGUAGUAGGGGUAUUUAUAGGUGAGGAGCGCGUCAAAAUCAGGCCCAAGUCCAGCGUGCCACCGCCGGGUGGUUCAAGUGUGCCGCCCGGCGGUUUCCCAAACCUGCCGCCACCGCCCGACGGCAAUCGCCACCGCCCGGCGGUUUCUCUUAGCUUGAAAUGCUGCCAACUCCUCGUCCUGGACCGCCCAGCGGUUUAAGUGUGCCGCCGGGCGGAAAGUCAACUAUUCAAAACAGGCCCAAGUCCAGCGGACCACCGCCCGACGGAACAAGUAUGGCGCCCAGCGGUUUCCCAUAAACCUCCAAACCGCCCGGCGGUAAGGGUCACCGCCCGGCGGUUUCCCUCAAAACCGCCCAGCGCCAACGCCAUCGCCUACUCCUCGCCCUGCACCGCCCAGCGGUGUAAGUUGCCACCGGGCGGUGCGUCGACUCUUCAAAUCUUCAAUUUUCUUCUCUUUUCUUGAGUCUACGACCUUUAUCUUCAACUUCAUUCUUCACUUUCUCAAAAUAGCUACAAAACAAUGCAAAACAGGCAUAAUAUCACUAAAAAUAGCUUUUGACUCUCUACAGACUCAUUUAUUGAGUUUUGCUUGAUUCUAAGCUCAUUCCAACUAGCAAAGGGUGUAAUUUGGUCUAAAAUGACAUAUGAAAAUAACUGUUUUUCAACCUUCAUCACUGCUCCAGCUCCACUCCCAUGUGCCUGCUCCUGUGGCCACGUCAUAGCACUAUGAAACUCAUUCAUAGUCCACCUGUGAGUAGGUGGUGUAUCGUAUAGACUCAAUAUCAUCUCAACAGUGGCCACCUGCCCUUUGUAUAGAGACUCCAAUCUAGCCUCCAUCAUAGACAUAUACAUGUCUCUCAUUUGGAAAGGCUCUGCGUGGUGUGAUGGUUCAUCCUACUGGGCUACUCCUCUCCUAGGGCGUCUCUUAGGCAUUGGUCUAGCUGCCUCCUCUCCUCCAUAAUACUUCCUGUAAUAUGUUGCAUCAAUGGCCUUCCUAGGCCUCUCAAAUGGUGGUGUAGAGACAUUCACCCCAUCCUACUGGCACAGAUGUGUGAUCAAAGAAGAAUGACCCAGUGGUGCCUUACUGCUCAUAGUAGCGGCACAACUCUGAAUAUCAUUAGCAAUGACUUCACCAAUGUUCACAUUCAUAUUUCUCAACAUGCAAUAUAUGAACAUGAUGAUGUGAACUAUGACGUCUGACACAUGGGAGCAAGGUUGGACGUUAGCAUGAGUGAAUGCCCUCCAAUAUUUGGCAUGAGGUGCCAGGUCAGCUCUCUUGAUGUGAAUAGGCAAACCAUUCGGAUUCUUGUGGAAAUGCCCUCCAGGUACAUAGAGUACACUCUCAAUAUCCUAAUAAUCUCAGCACUCCCGCACAUUCAGUACAUACUGACACUGCUACCAACCCCUUCAGUCUCCACCCAAAUGCAAUUUCCUCAAUUCUAGACCAAAAUCAUACAAUUUAAUCGGCGCAAAAUGUUUCAAUUUCAUCAAAUCAUGCAUAGAAACCCUAAGAUGAAAAUUGUAUGACUGACUUGGGUGGAGCAACUUUGAAUGCUUGUAAAUGCUUCUUGAGUGAUGAUGGAUGGCAUUUGUUGGAAGUAUAUGAGCAUCACAUGGAUUUUGAUUGAACUAAGGCAUUUGCACAUCUUGAUUGAGAUUUUUAUGCUGAAUUGAUAAAAGUGAUUUCUUGUCUUUUAAACAGGUUGGCUUCUUUAUUUCACCAAGAGGGUGGGUGAAUUGGUGUUGUUGCAAAAACACUUUCUUUUUGCAAUCUUGAAAUCAAAGUAUAAAGCUUUUUGAAAUUUCUCGAAUUGCAAGCAAUCAGAAUAUGUAUGCAGCGGAAAUUAAGUAGUUGACUGCGUAAAGAAUAAAGUCAACUUGAAUGUAAAAGAUAAGGGAUAGAGAAAUGCAAACACAGAUUUAUAUACUGGUUCGGCCAACAAUUCCUACAUCCAGUGUCCUUCCAACCCAGGUAGAAAAUGCAUUAUAAUGGCUGCGGUUUUCACAAGAAGGAAUUUAUAGAAGACCUCCACGUCAAAAAUAUAAAUCUCCUCUCUAACCCAAAACCAAAAGAUAGCUGCACAACACAAUUAGACUUACAGCAAGAAUCCCCUCUUCUGCAAUUUGCAACACCACUUUGAACAAUCCUCAAAGUGAACUAUCCCCCUAUAUCACAACAGGUCCAAUUCCAGCAAUCUUCACAGGAUGCCAAGCCUCUCAGAAAAUUCCAGCAGUCUUCAUAGGAUGCCAAGCCUUUUAGAAAAUUCCAACAGUCUUCACAAGAUGCCAAGCCUACACGAUCAAUCACAGAAGCACCUUCUUGUGCAAAUGUUGAUCAGCCAAUGAAUGCGCAAUUAAAUCUCCUCUUUGAAUCUCUUUCAAGAAAGAUCACCGUCGUCUUCUUGGAGAAUACUUGGAGUAAAGAGAAAUCUGAAACAGAAAUAAAAUUGUCAGAUCAUCAAAAGUCUUUGAACAAACUAGUGUUCAUUCUAUUUAUAGAUUUCUGUUAAUCAGUCAGAUUCUCAGUCGAAUGUGCUACUAAUUUUUAAAAAUAUAGUCGUUAGAGUGCAAGAGCAUAACAUAAUUCCAAAUCAAACAACAAAUACAGUCGAAUAUGUAAAACACAAUGUCGACUAUCACAAUGCAAACACUUUGAAAUUCUUUUCUUCUCAAAAUAGCACAGAGCACUGAUUCUCUAAAUAUGUAUAAAGGUUUUAGCAUAGUCAAAUCCAUUAGUAAUGUAGUCGACUGUACUAGAACUUUGUAGCACAAGAAUAAGUUCGUAAAAGUGCUUGUGAUUUCUUGCUUUAAAAUAUGUGUAGUAAAACAAUGAAAUGAUGCAUAGCACACAACACAUUAAAGCAUAUACACAUGUUCCAGAAAUAUAUCAAUCAAUCAACACAAGAACAUGUAACACAGUACAUACACAUACACAUGUUCAACAGAUAUUACAGUUUAAUCAGCAUAAGAACAUGUAAUGCAACAACAACAUGUACUUGUUAUUAAGCAAUGUGUUGUCAUCAUCAAAAAAUUAGAUUGAUAUAGAAAUUGUGUUGUCAACAAUCUCAACACAACAUAUGUUUGAAAUCUACAAAUUGUAAAAAUUACACAUUAUGCACCAAUAACUAUACUGUCAUUGAGGAAUUAUUACAAACAGUUUGUAAUAUCUGCAUAGCACCUUUGAUUCGAACUAAAUCUGAAUUGUGAUUGUUUUCUAGCUUUUCUAAAUUAGAAAAUUAUUCUCUCUUGAAAGUCACAAUGCUAGAGAGUCCAAAGACUCCCUCUAGCCACCUUCCAAGGCACACUACCUUCAUUUUCCAUUUUCCAAAUCUCCAAGAGUGCCUUCUCUCUCUUCCACGCUGCAUCACAGAUCAGUCGCCACAUAUUCAGCUCCUUGCGCAUGCGUCAGUGCUUAAUUUUCCUCACAGAUCUGCGUCAUCAGAAGAAUACUCCUUCAUUUCGCACUUUCAUCAUUCGCUGAAACACACUCCCUUUGCUCUCGAGGCUUCACUUUGCUCAAGCCUUUUGCUUGUGUCUCCACCCUCAGAAUCAGGUUAUAUUUCCCACUGAUUCACCAUUCUCCUCUCAUAUCUUCAUUCCUUCUCAUUAGUUCAUCUUUUCCAUCAAUGAUCUUCCUCCAAACCUAGGGUUUUUCCCUUCCUUCAUCGUUUCUUCACAUUUUGACCGAUUAAAAACUUCUCUUUCCUUAGAUCUUCCAUUUUCACCGUUCAAAACACCAUUUCUACCGAUUAAUCGGUCCAAAUCCAGUUUCCCCUCUUUUCUAGGGUUUCAUUGUGUUCAUUUUCCAUGUCCUUCGAGUCAACUCUUUUAGAGCUUCAUAUCAACAUUCCGUUGUGUUCAUGGUCUCUUGAAGAAGCUUUGCAGGAGUCAAAUCACGUUAUCGGUCAACAUCCUUGGAGCAUUCUUCCAUCAUGAGGUAUAUUAAAAAUAUUUUUUAUAACUUUUCUACUGAUAAACUCUUGCAGGAGUUCGUGGACGGUGUUAGUUCAAUGCUUUGGGUUACCUACUUUGUGAGUUGAGGAACAGAACAGGGAUGUUGGGUGGGGAGGUUGGGUUGAGAGAGGGUAAGGAGGUUGGGUGUAAGAUGGAAGGAAGAGACGGGGGAGAGAGAGGGAGAAAAUUUGAGAAACACUGACUCAGUGUAAAAAAAAUAAAUAUCGUGUCAGUCUACCGUUAACCACAUCAGCUUGUUUUUAAAGGUGUUAGUUUUGGAGGACUAAAAUCAAAGUUUCCUUAAGGAAGAGGACUAAGAUGUACCUUACUUUGAAAGAGGGACUAAAACCAAAAACUGUUUGAUAGUAUAGGGGCUGAAGACAUAUUUACCCCAAAAAAUAUUUACAUUAUAUAAUUUAAUAUUUUUAAUUAUUAUGUAUUGUUAUUUCUUGUAUCCUAACUAAACCUUUCAUGUCAAUUCCUAUUCGACAUGAAAGUACUCGAGAAAGAAAAUAAUAUAAUACACAAUAUCAAUUCUAAAAAUAAUAUAACAAAAUAUAUAGACAUUGAAUAUUGACAUCAUAACAGUGAAGAGGAUUUUAAUUUUAUGUUCAUUUAUGUAUAUGAUUGGCAUACAUUUUGAGAGGUUUAUAUUUAAGCGGAUGAAGUGACUUACUAUGAUUUAGUUAACAAAUUUCCAUCUCUUCUUUUUCACAAUUUUUGUAUAUGUUUUUUCUUUAUUCUCAUGAGUUUUUGCUUAAUUCCUCGUAAUAUACUCUUUUCACUUCCAACGACCUUCGAUUUUUAAAAAAGUACUUUAUGCAUUUUAUCCCUAUUAAUCCGAAACUGAGUGCAUGUAUAUUGACAAAACGAAUGUGGCUAACAUAGCCCAUGCUCUCAAGUAUGGCACCCAACUCCCAUCAUUUUCUCUUGUUUUGACGUUUCCUCCAAAUUCAAUGUUAAUCUAGUGUUUUUGUUUAGGUCUAUCACCCUCCUUAUUAUAAGAAAAGACUAUUCAUGAAAUUAAAAAAAAAAAAAUCAUUUUUAUACCCAUAAUAAAUGAAUUAUUUUGCUAAAGGAAAAUACAAUUUAUAAGUUUGUAAUCAUGAGUAGUGGUGAAGUUGAUUUUGAUGAGUUCAAUCAAUUCAAACAAAUUAAGUUCAUUUGAAUAUUAGACUCGCAACCAAACAAAUUUUAUUAAAUAUUUUGUUUACAGUUUUAUGAUAAACAUAUUUCACACCCGACCUACUUUUAAUCAGAUUGAUUUGCUUAAUAUUAAAAAUACGAAAAAUUUUAAUGAACUCAAAAUAAUAGUAAAAGUUAAUUGGUUAGAAUAUCACUUUCCAUCAAAAUGGAUAAAUUAGAGUCAAACACCUCUGACAGAAUUUAAAACACAAGUUCAUACUAUUUGAAUAUAAUUGGGUCUAGCUAUGCAUUCAUGCUUGACAUAUAGUGUUGAAUGAUGAUAAAAAUGGAAGGGAGAAAGUGGAUUAUAAGUGGUUUGAACCCUCAAUUAAUAUACUAACCUUUAAUAAUAAUAAUAAUAAUAAUAAUAAUAAUAAUAAUAAUAAUAAUAAUAAUAUAAGAUCAUACAGGAGAUUUUUUAAUGGGUUAAGUCAGAUUACAUUAGUGCAAAAACGUUGUUUAACGUCACCCAUAAGACGUCGGUUUGCGUGUAAUCCGACGUAUAGGAGCGGACGGUGACAUUAUCUUAAAUAGCCUGGUAAACUAGAUGUUGGUUUUAUCCAAAAACAGACGUCUACUAAUUUCAAGACGUCAGCACUACAGCACCCCGACGUCUACUGGGCUGCAUUUAAUGCUUUUCACCUAAUUCUCAGGCGCUUAGACGUCACGUAGUCCAAAUCCGACGUCUAAGGCAUGUCUGGAAGGCGGGAAAGACAAAAAAAUCUUCAAUUUUGACGUCGGCGUUUCGGGCUACACGACGUCUAUAAUACCUGUAAUGAUUAUGUUUACAAAACUCGAGGGCCUGAGACAUAAGCUAUUUAGGGCCCCGACGUGUAUGUUAUUAUAGACGUCGGUGGCCCAUACCAACAGUCGUGAACAUCCCUGAUAGGAUAUCAAACGUCAAUCGGUUUAGCUUCCUAGACGUCGAUUCCCCCUGACAGAAACCGACGUCUAAUGGGUAUUCAAAAAGUCAGUUUUAAAUGUUCAACAGUUUUUUUCUCUCUUUUCGGCAUUCUAUUGUUGUUUCUCAUCUUCCUCCUCUCCUUUUUCUCUCUUGCUUCCCAGGUGCGUGGUUUUUUUUUUAUGCUUACAGUUUAAACUUUAUUUAGUCUUUCAUCUAUUAUCUUGUGGUUGAACUGAUUAAAAUUUGCUUUCUUUGUGUUGUUUUUUAGUGCAGUUUUGAUCCUCUCUUUGGGUAACAUAGUACAACAUUAUCCCUUUGCUGGUUUCCUCACAAGAAGAGUGGCGAUCUUUUGAGUUUUNUAUGGCUUCUCGACCCAAAAUGGAACUUGGGUCCUUGUCUAGUUCUCGUGUCACCGUAAUUUUUUUCUUUUGCGGUUGAAUAAUGGGAAGUAGUCAUGGACCAAGGUUCGGUUUUGGGUUGAAAUGUCAUAGAAGAUUCAAAAGAUGCAAGCUUUUUUUGUGGGGAAACUAGCGAGAGGAGAGUGUUGCAUUAUGCUACCGAAAGUCUGGAUCAAAACUGCACUAAAACACGAUGCCUUUGUUAGACGUCGGUUAGUGCCAGGUUCGAUGUCUAUAAGGAACAUAGACAUCGGUUGGUGUCAUUUUAAACCUCUAUAUAUUCAUGUAAACGUCAGUUUUAUGCAUAGGUGGAUGUCUAUAUAGAGAAAUUAGACGUCGGUGUGGGUAUAAGUAGAUGUCUAUAUGGACGUCGGUGUAUAUCGUUAACCGACGUUUAUAUUGACGUCGGUUAAGAGGAUUUCUGACAUCCCGUGGACGUCACCCUUAUAGACGUCUGUUGUGUAAGUGACGUUAAAAGCCCAAAUUAACCGACGUUAAACAACGUUUCUGCACUAGUGUNNNNNNNNNNNNNNNNNNNNNNNNNNNNNNNNNNNNNNNNNNNNNNNNNNNNNNNNNNNNNNNNNNNNNNNNNNNNNNNNNNNNNNNNNNNNNNNNNNNNNNNNNNNNNNNNNNNNNNNNNNNNNNNNNNNNNNNNNNNNNNNNNNNNNNNNNNNNNNNNNNNNNNNNNNNNNNNNNNNNNNNNNNNNNNNNNNNNNNNNNNNNNNNNNNNNNNNNNNNNNNNNNNNNNNNNNNNNNNNNNNNNNNNNNNNNNNNNNNNNNNNNNNNNNNNNNNNNNNNNNNNNNNNNNNNNNNNNNNNNNNNNNNNNNNAGUUAUGGACUAAGACUUUAACUAGAUAACGUUGUCCCUUAUCACUAAUGUCCAGAUUGAAAGAAGACAAUAGUGUAGACUUGGUCUUGUCACCCCUUAGACGUCGGACCACAAAAUAUCCAACAUAAAUUAUUGAUCGGUGUCAUUUUCGUAAAUAAGUUAGCCAUAUAGACGUCGGUUAGGAAGGUCCCCGAAAUCUAUAAUUUUAUAGAUGUCGGGCCCCCCUAACCGUCAUCUACGGGCCUGAGAGGUAGGUGAUUUUUCUGCCAUAUAGACGUUUGUUCCUGCCACCCCGACAUUUAUAUACGAUUAUAGACAUCGGGCCCCCCAACCCCGACGUCUAUAUGUCUGACAAGGUAGGUGAAAAGUUGACUUAGACGUUUGUUGUGGGGGAAUCGACGUCUAUAGACGUCUGUUAUGGUGGGAAUCGACUUCUAAAUACUCAGCCCAGAAAUUUAAAAUGUCACUUUUUGACUCCACUUAGACGUUUGAUCCCGCCACUCCGACUUCUAAAGCCAUUUUGUGAGGGGAACCGACGUCUAUAGAUGUCUGUUAUGGGGGGAACCGACUUCUAAAUGUCUGUAUUAUAACACUGCGAACAUGAGGCAGUAGUUACGCACACUCACUGUUUAUCAUCUUCCUCGCGUUUUCUCUCCACGGGCUACGUUUUUCAAGUUGUUUUCUCACUUUUGCACCGUUUAAAAUUAAUUUUACUCUGAUUACAAUACUCUUUGAUGAAUUAUCUUUCAUUUCAACCGAUUAAAAUGUGUUUUCAUUGGGUUUUGCUGCGGUUUUGCUUGUGUCCUUGGGUGGCGUUCUUGGGCGGUGAUUUCUUGCGUUUUGCAAUCCUUGAAUUCCCUCCACUACAUUUUUAAAACCAUCCAAUACAAAAAGAACAUACAAUCCAUUCUCUUCAACUAAAAUAUAAAGUUGUAAACUCGAAUCGCCAUGAGCCAGGAGCAACCCGAGAGGCCUUAAGUAGAGAAAGAUCGAAUCAAAUAACCAUAUUUGAAGACAAAACAAGCAAUUACACAUGACAUAAUAGUACUGGAAAGGAUGCUCAAACCAAAAAUGACUCAAACAAUACAAUUUGGACCAAAUAAAAUGAUAAAAAUUAGCAAUGACUCACAACACAGGAUGACACAAACAAGUAUAGAAUCCUAAUGAAUAGAUCAAGACGAUUUGAAUCAGAUUAACAAAUCAACACAAAUGACAGUAAAGGAAUCAUAGAACAACGAGGAACUGAAGAUAAAAAAUAAACACGACUCAGAUUCAUAAUAAAAACCGAGACAAAACAAGAUGAACUCAAAACAGAAAAGACAGAAUCAACAUAAACGCGAAUCAACGCAUACCGAAUCAGAGAAAAAAAAAUGAAACAAGACAGAUGAGCGAUACUUAUCUCUUGUAGCGUGGAAGAAUCGAAGCUCUGAUGAUCACUUGAUGGAAGAAUGCCUUGAGGAUGACACGGAUUGGAGUUGUGCGAACCUAAUUCGAAGUCCUCAAGUCUUCCUCCAGACAUGUACGCAGCAGAAUGUAGACGAAAAAUCGAAAAAUCCUAAAAAACCCUAGGAGGACCGAGAGAAGUGAGGUUGAAUGGUGAACGAACCUUGGACGGUGAGGAAAACCUAAUCAGAGGAAAUGAACUUUUAAUCGACGGAAAUGGUUUAGAUCGGAAAAACUGUUCGUUGGAGAUGAGAUUCUAGGGCUGAAAAGGCCAAAGAACGAAGUAGAAUGUGUAGAUCUGUGAUGAAAACAGGACUUACAAUGGGAGAAAUAGUUGGCGAUGAAGGUGAAACUAUGAAGUUCUCUCAAGAGAGUGAAAGAGCUGAGAGCUUUCAAGGAAAACUUGAGAUGUGGAGAUUAAUGAGAAUGAGGCGUGAAGGAUGUCACACGUGGCUGAUUCAAGAGGUGGAGGAAUAAAACGCUGACGCGUGCACGGUGGUAGAUGAUGCACGGAUGAAGUGUGCGCUAAUGUGGCUGAUGACGGUGUGUGAUGAUGAGAGAGAAGCACCAAUGAAAAAUGGAAAAUGAAAGAUGAGAGAGGUGCUUGGAAGGUGGCGAUUUUGUAACGGUGUCGAUUUUAAUAUCUAAUGUAUGUGUGUUCAGGCACGAAAGAAGUUGACGAAGUUGCUGCAAGGUGCGGUGAACCUAACGAGAAGGAGCAACAGUAGAAAAAGAAAGAUGAAAAGGGAUAUGGAUUCAUUGAUGGAAGUGAAAGAUGAAGAGGGUAAGCAGCUGGAGGAUGAAGACAUUAUAGAAUUACUUCUGGUGUUCUUGUUAGCUGGCCAUGAAAGUUCUACUCAUGGAAUAUUGUGGACUAUUAUCUACCUCUCACAACACUCACAUUUCUUCCAAAGGGCUAAGGUUUUCAUACUUCUUUUUUCUAUAUUAAUUGUUUAUCAAGGGUUUAACUAACAGAACUUUACACCUUCCAGAAAGAACAAGAAGAGAUCAUGCAAGCAAGACCCUCCACUCAGAAAGGACUGAACAUAAAGGAAAUUAGGCAAAUGGAAUAUCUUUCAAAGGUAUAUAGAUUUAUAUUGAUAUAUAUUAAGUUCUUGAAGGCAUGUAAUCUAUGUUUAUGAGGGUCUGAAUCACUAAGAUGAAGCUAUUUAAAAAAGCUAUGUUUGAGAAAACUAUAUUCUAAAUAGGUUAUCCAUGAGAUGUUGCGCAAAACAUUUAUCUCGUUUGCAAACUUUAGACAAGCAAAGGUUGACCUCAGCAUCAAUGGUUAGUUCAGUUUAGUUAUUUAGUGCCAUAUUUUUCAGUAUUUCUUACAACAUUUGAAAAUUUUCGUUCAUUACAGUACCUUAGCAUUCACGAAGAAUGAAAAAUUGCAGGUUUUACUAUACCAAAAGGAUGGAAAGUUCUAGUUUGGAACCAAGGGGUGCAUAUGGACCCCGAAACUUACAAUAAUCCAAAGCAAUUUGAUCCUUCCAGGUGGGAAGUAUAUAUGAUAUAUAGUAAUUAAUUUUGAAAAAAAAAAUGUUCUUCCACUCAUUCUUGGACAUGUGAGUUUGAUUUUGAGGAACAAAAGAUGAUAUAAAAUUAUGUAUUCUGCAUAAUCACACAGCAAGAGCAGCCUUUGUGCUUGACCCACUUGUGUGAUUAUGCGUACUUAAGUUCAUCCAAGACUGUGAAAGAAGGAAAAAGAGUGUGAAGAUGAUAUUUUGAUAGAGAUAUGAAUGCAGAGAAAGAAGUGUAAAUACCAGUAGAUAAGCAUCUAGAGAAAGAAAAAGGAGGAAGAAGAUGGGUCUGGAAGCAGAAGAGAGUUUGAGUGCAUUACUAGUGGAAGAUGGAAGGAAGGGUGGAAGAUGGAAGAAAGAGAGGAGGGAGAGAGAGGGAGAGAGAGGGAGAAAAGGUGAGAAACAAUGACUCAGUGUAAGAAAAAAAAAUUGUGUCAGUCUACCGUUACCCAGAUCUGUUGGUUUUUAUCAGUGUUAAUUUUCGAGGACUAAAAUCAAAGUUUUCUUAAGAAGGAGGACUAAAAUGUACCUUACUUUGAAAGAGCGACUAAAACCAAAACCGUGUGAUAGUAUAGGGACUAAAAUCAUAUUUCACCCAUGAUUUUUUUAAAUUUAUAAGAAUUUAUGAUAAGAAACAAUAGUGAGAAAAUUCUAUAAAUGUGAGAAGUAAAACACACAUGAAUAAGUCAAUCAAUCAAGUUCCAUUAAAAUCAAGUAUAGAUAUAAGAAAUUAGAUCAAAUCGCUAUAAGAAUUUUGUUUAUUUUAUACCCAAUAUUACCAACAACUUUAUAAUUUGUUGGUAAAUUAUAAUUUACAGACCAAUAUUAUUGAUAGAUAUUAUCGAUGAAUUUUAUAUUUAAAUUUAUUAAUAGAUACUUUUAUCAUAAAUAAAUGAGUUUGUUAAAUAUAUUGAAAAGUUUUGUUGAUACCUCACUAUCAUAAGAGAAGAAGAAAGGGAAGAUGAUGGUACUGAUAAUUGUUGAACAAGUUGGUUAGUGACGUAGAGACUAGUGAAUGAUGCUAGGGCUCGCUAGUAAUGCUCAGGUUGACAUGUGAUGAUGUAUAGGAUGGUGGUUGAUGCAAAGGUUUGCUAAUGAUGCGAAGGGUGGUACAUGAGUCAAAGCAAGUUUCUAAGUCAUUAAGGGUGUUUUUGAUAUCAAAAUUAAGUGUAAAAAUAACGUUUCUUGAACCGCUAUCACCACCCCAAACUUAGAACUUUGCUUGUUCUCAAGCAAACAAGAUGUAACUUAAUCUUCCACCAAUCAACACAAUGGUUCAAUCACAUUCCAAACCUCAUUCUUUCAAGACAAGUAAUUACUUAAAUCAGCUCAUCAACAGAAUUUAGUCAAGAUAUGCACAUGCUUUGAUUCAAUUAACUCAUCAUGGUGUUCACAAAAUCACAUAAUCUUCCAACAGAUGUUAUUCUCAUGAAUGAUCAAUUAGCUAAGCAUAGAUGCAAUCAUAGAUUCAUGGAAUUCUUCCUCACCAAAUAAAGUGUUAAACUCAAGCACUCAAAAUUGUUUCACUCAAAGGUGUAUAAAGGCCACUCGUUCACUCUACUAUCUACAUGUCACAUAGAACAAAAUGGCCUUUCAUUUACCACAAUCAAACAUACUCACACACAUAUGUCAUCACGAGCGCUUUUUCAAGGCUUAUAAUGUGGCUGAUAACGGUCUAAAAAUCGUUAUUUUCAUGCUUAAAUUUGAUAUUAAAACACUGACCGCUGAGUGGUCCAACGGCUAAAGGGCACCUGGGCGGUUGUCUGUUUUUAUUAUAGCAUAUUUUGUGAUCUUUCUGUUAUCUUUUUGGCCUAUAUAUAGGUCCAGUGCGAAUCAAAACUCAUUUCUUUUGGUAGAGAGAAACGUCCAGAGCUAUUCCACACACCUUGGAGGAGGUUCCUUGGAUGCUUAGGCUCUAAUCUACCAAGUUUAGGGUUAUUUCAUCCAUUCUUUCAUCAUAUUUCAUCUAGUUUCACCAUGGUUAUGGUGAACUAAACCCUAGGUUGUUGGGGAACAAUGUAAUCUUUUGAAACUCUCAUAUAUCCAAAUUCUUAUUUAUUUUAUAUGCUUGCAUAUGCUUGAUUUAUCAAUUGUUGGGUUCUUCACCUUUGCUUAAUGCUUUUAUCGUUUCCCUCAUUCUACUCGUCCAGCCUCUUCGCAAACUUGUACAAUCGAUGCCACAAAGAUAGUAAACUCUAUUAUCGAAGAAAUAAGGAAACGGGCGACGAUUUGGCACCAGAUAUCCGGAGGUGUGGAAAGAGCAGCUGUGAGGAGCGGAAAAACCAUCAAAAAACGACGAUUGUUCGUGAGGGUUUCCACAGAAAGACCCCUUGGUUCUGGCUUCGGUAAAUUUUGUUUAUCUAUAUUGAUACGGGGAUGUACAGUAAUGUCAUGAACUGGGAAGAAUUCCUUGAUUAAGCAAUACCACCUAGGGAUAGGGGUAGGAGGAUCAAUUGUAUUUUGCUUCCGCUUAUCAUGCAUUAUUAAUUACUAGGGGAGGCUAGGGAUAGCAAGUCGAUAAUUAGUAAUAGGCUCUUUUCACCAAGGGAUUGGGUUAAGGGUAGACUAAGAAAGUUUGCAUGACAAUAUCAUAAAUAAGCUAAUUAAAUAAGAAGAGUAGAUAUAUGAGGGUAGAUAAGAUGAAAUUGUAAACCCCAAAAACUCCAUUCAUCCAUAGUUUCUUAAAGCCAAUUGAAUCAUUGCAUUUGCAUGUUUACUUUUGUUCUUUGCAUUAACACUUCAACUUAAUUCUUUUCUCAAGUCUUACGCGAUUAGUUUACAUGAAAAGUAAGGCCUAAGAGUCCUUUGGGAAACGAUACUUGGACUUACCCAUUUAUAUUACUUUAUAACGAUCCGGUACACUUGCCAGGGACAUAACAGUGGCUUGGGCUAACAAAAAAAAUUGGUUUUUCUAGAUCACAAAACCCUUGAGUUAAGAGAGUUAUUUAUACAUUCAUAAUUCAAGCACAAACUCUCUUUAACCAAUCAAUCUCAUUCCCAACUUUCCCCCUUUUUUUCAUUGAGCUUAUCUUUCUUUCAUUCUAUCUUUUUCAUCUUUUUCUAUCUUUUUCACUUUUGCUCAACACAUUAGCUUAAUGCUUUCUCUUUCUUUUUCAACUUUCCCCAACAACCCUAAACUUGAACCUUUAUCAAUACCACACAAUAAUUAUCAACUUAACUCAAGGUAAAGAUUUUCAAAAAGGUUUUCAAUAGUAUUUAAGGCUCAGGUUCAAAAAGGGUAGAACACAUUGUGCUCUUUUUAAUUGGGACGAAAAUUUAUGCAUUGGCUAAGAAAGGGUUUAAUCAAAAAUGGCCUUGAUCGUAUGACACAUACAUGCAAUUCAAUCAAUCAUAUAAAAUUGGGCAAAAUCAUUCAUGUUUUCAAAUAGAUAGCAAUCAUACAAUCAAAAACUUUGGAGUUCAAAACCUCACUCAUAGGCUCAAUCAUUAUUCCAAAUAUUCUAGAUAAACAUCCUGCUUAGCAUCAUAAUCACAAACACAAAAUCACAAUGCAUUAAUUCAAAUUACAAAAACAAAACAAAAGAUAAGAAAAUCCUAGGUUGCCUCCCAGUAAGCACUCGUUUAACGUCACGAGCCUGACUUGAAAUCUUUCUAGCACCCAUCAGUAAGUGCAAUCCUUACCAACACCCAUCAGUAGGUGUACCUUCCUGUAUCCUUCAGUAGAUACUUAAACUUUCUAGCAUUCCUCAGUAGAUGCUAUCCUAGUAGCAUUCAUCAGUAAAUGUUGUCAGUGACAUUCACCAGUAGACGUCUAUAAACAUAGCAUCUGCCAGUAGAUGUUAAUCUUUCUUAUCUUCAUUGGUAUCACUCAGUAGACACCAAUCCUUCUCAUCUUCUUUGGCAUCCAUCAGUAGAUGUUGUAGAAGUAUCCAUCGUUAUAUGUUAUCAUCACUACCAUUAGAAGCAGUAUUUAACCUAAAAAUAAACUUAAACACACAAAGAAAAAUCAAAUCCAAAUCACACAAAUAAUCAAUUAAAAAGAAAAAGUUAGAAACUGGGUUGCCUCCCAGCAAGCGCUCUUUUAACGUCAUUUGCUUGACCAGGUAAAGCUCAAACACCCAUCAGUAGGUGUUGAUAUUUUAUGUUGGUGUUCUUCCUUCCUUCAUGACACCAACAAAAUCUCAGAAAUUUCCUUGUCACCACUCUAAGGAUCCUCAAUCUCAAGAGCUUUGUUUGCUUUUAUAAUCUUGACAACCCAUAACCUAUUCUCGAAUUUCACUGGUAUGCCAGGUUUGGGUUUGUGAACCAAUUCUCCUUUCUUGUCUGCCUCCUGAUGAUCUUGUUCUCCUAAUAAAAAUUUUAUCCUGCAUACUGUUAAGCCCCUGGCAAGUGUACCAGAUCGUUAUCAAGUAAUAUAAACGGUAAGACCGAGUAUCAUUCUCCCAAAGGACUCACUGGCCUAAACGUUCGUGUGAUUUGAUUUUAUAAGACUUAAAAGAAAAAUAAAUUGAUAGUGUUGAUGCAAAAACAAAAUUUAAACAUACAGAUGCAGAGUUGAAUCAGUUGGCAAGAAAGACUAUGAAUUAAUGAAGUUGUUGGGGUUUACAAUUUCAUCUUUUUCCACUCUCUUAUAUCUACUAUUCUUGUUAAAUUCGCUUUAUUAUCAAUGUCAUGCAGUUAUCUAAUCUACUCAAAACCUGAUUCCUCGGUGAAGAGAGCCUAUAAUUACUAGUCCAUCAUUCCUAGUCUCCCUAAGUAACCAAUAAAGCAUGAAAAACAUAAGUUUAAAGCAAUUGGCCAUCCUACUCCUAUUCCUAGGUAGUAUUGCUUAACCACGAGAAUUCCUAUCAGUUCGAGACUUCCCCAUACGUCCCCAUAUCGGCAAAAUCAAGGAUCAAUACAACAAAGGAGUUAAACGAUGCAAGCAUGAUAAUCGGAUAAGAAAACUUAAACUAUUGAUAAUACAAGCAUAUGCAAGCAUAUGAAUAAAACAAGAAUUUCGAUAUAAGAGAGUUUUAAAAGAUUACAUUAUUCCCCAACAAUAAUGGGCUUAGUUCACCAUAAACACGGUGAAACUAGAUGAAAUAAAUGAAAAGAAUGGAAGAAUAAACCCUAGAUUUGGUGAUUUGGAGCUCCCGCAUCCAAAAACUGCCUCCAAGGAGUGAAGAAGAGCUUUGGACGUCUCUGAUUGCCAAAAGAUUACUUUUGAAAUCACACUAGGUCUAUUUAUAGGCCAAAAAAGUAACAGAAUUUCGGCCCAGGCCCACUCAUUUAGGUGCUCAGCGGUACCUAACGCUUAGCGGUGGUGACGCUGGACGCUCAAUGGUUCUUGACGCUCAGCGGUCUGCGUCUUGGACGCCCAGCGCUAGGUUAGCACUGGGCGGUGGUCGCAGCACCUCUUUUUCAUCUUUUCUUGCCCUUUUUUUGUUCCAAGUCCUUCCUUCUUCAUCUUCAUCAUUCAACUUUCGUAAAAUAUUGUCAAAACAAUGUAAAACCAAGCAUAAUAUCUCUAAAAACCAAUUUUGACUCUCUUGUUCACUAACUUAAUCAAAAUGCAUGAUUUCAAGCUAAUUCUAGGUCAUAAAGGUUGUGUUUUGAUAACAAAUUAAUGUAUAAAAAUAACGAUUUUUAGACCGUUAUCACAUACACUAAAGAACACUACACUAGAGCAUACAAUUAGCCCACAAAAUAAAAACAAUAAAAGAUGUUUUUUUCUCUUUUUUUUUUAGAAAGAUAAAGAUAGAGAGAUAAAAAUAAAAAGAUAGAAAGAUAGAUAGAAAAAGAGAUAGAAAGAUAGAAAGAUAGAUAGAAAGAUAGAGAGAUAGAAAGAAAGAAAGAUAGAAAGAUAGAAAGUUUAAUCGGUUAAGAACCACAAGAUAGAAUGUCCAGUCUCCUUAGUAAUUAGUCAUGCAUUUUAGUGCACAGAAGCUUAAGAAAAUUGAUUGUCCUAUUCUUAUGUCUAGGUAAUAUUGUUAAUCAAGAUAAUUCCCUAGAUCGUGAUUUGUAGAUAUCUCAUGAUACCAGUCUUAGGGAAAGAAGAGGAGAGCUAUCACCUUCCCCAAAUCCACCAACCCUAAGAGUGUGAUAUCUCCUCAUGAUACUUACAAAUCAUAAGAUUUAUGCCAAGCAUUUGAGUAAACAAUAAUAUCACUAACAAUUAAUGAAAGAAGCAUAUAUCAAUAACAAGAACCAAUUCAAAUACAAGAGAGUUUAGAGGUUACAUCUUUCCCCAAUAACAUAUGAGAUUAGUCCUUCAUCGUCAUGGAGAAACAAUGUGUACAAUGGAAUGGAAGAGAUAGAAACCCUAGAAAAGGAGAGUUGUCAAAUCCCCAAAUUUGCCCUCAAAGGGGUGAAAAGUGUGUUUUUGUGCCUAAGCCAUCAAAAGAUACAUUCUCUAAGACGUUUUGGCCUUUAAAUAGGGUAGAAAAAUAACAGAAAACGGGUGCAGGCCCAAAACAGAUUAUAAAAAUAACAGAAAACUGGCCCAAAACUUGCGUCGUCGGCGCUCAACGCUAUAGUACCACUCAACGGUAGGUGUGGCACUUAGAAUGGCCCCCAACGAUGUCGCCCAGGCGAAAAAUAGUGAAAAACUAGUCCUGAGACUAGCGCUCAGCGCUAGCCUGUCACUCAACACCACCUGCGCUUCUGAAAAACUACACUCUGCUUAACUUUUCAGCAUUUUGAUUGACUAGUUGACUUUUCUGGUUGACUUUUCUUAUUGACCGGUUGACUUUCCUACACUGCAACUCCUUAAUACUUCAACCCUUCCAUCAAAUCAUUCCAAUAACCUACAAAAUCAAGGGAAUUUAGUGAUAAAAUCAUCAAGUAUAACCUCAACUCUCUUAUUCAAAAACUAAAGCAAAAACAUGAGUCAUAGCAAGUUUAUAAGUCAUUAAGGGUGUUUUUGAUAUCAAAAUUAUGUGUAAAAGUAAUGGUUUUUGAACUGUUAUCAUAUAUCAAUGAUCAGACGCAUGAUCUUUGACACAAAAAAAAACCCGAGAUGCUUGAUGUACCAUGAUAAACGAUUCGUCUCGAUAAUGCACCUUUCGAAAAUCAACUAGUGUCAUACCCGAUUCAUCUAUUUUCACACCACUCUUAUUAUCAAACGACUUCAUUUUAACAAUGGAACAGAAAACUUGGUGUAAUCAACUCCCAUAUCUCUUAUAUUAUACCAUAAUAUCUCAUUGAUCCAAGUAUAAGAUUUUGAUCUUUUGAUGUGGAAAAUUGGAGUGACUCAGCUUCUAGACUUACUCCAUUAUUUUGUACUAUGCUUUUAUCAUCCAAAGUCUUUAUAUAUAUAUGCAAUUAUUGAUUUCAUAACUUGUACAACAUACGACAUCAAACUUUAAACCAUUUGCAAGCCACAACAAAGUCUGAUAAGAAUGUGGCUCUUUGUCAAUUUCAUAUUUGAACCAAGACAUAAAUGUUGUGUUAUGUUGCAUCAACUGUCAUUUCUCUUAUUGUCUUGGAUUUUUAUUCUUCACAAUGGCUUUGUGUGCUUGCAAAAAAGGGAUCACCUCAUCUAUGUCGUUCAAUAUAUAAAGAUGUGCUUGCGACAAUUUUUCACGAUUGGUACUUAGAUUACCAAAUGGGUUUAUUCCAUCAGUGGCUAAAUCAAGCCUAAGAUUUCUACAUUCUUGACCAAAUUGGGGAAAUUGUUGAUCAAUAUUUUUCCAUUUCUUUGAAUCACCUGGAUGACGAAGCAACCCGUCAAUUUUUCUCUCAUCUGCAUGCCAUUUAAAGUUUUUAGCAUCUUUUGGAUUCUCAAAAAAACGCUUAAGUUUGGGCAUAAUUGGAAGGUACCAAACUACUUUUAAAGCAGAUCCAUUUUUUUAUAUCUGACCAUUAUCUUCAUUAUUGUUUUUUAACUUGUAUCAUGAUAACCCACAUUUUGGACACUUAUUCAAAAAUUCAAACUCUUUCCUAUAUAGAAUGCAGUCAUUGUGACAAACAUGUAUCCUUUUAUACUUCAUACCCAUCGGACAAAGAAUUUUCUUCACAUCAUAAUUACGAAUGGGUAGUGUAUUUCCAUCUGACAGCAUUUCAUUCAACAACGUCAACAAUUCUGUGAAACUCUUAUCGGUCCAUCCAUUGGUCGCCGUCAAAUUCAUAAGCCUUAACACCGUUGACAACCGUGUGAACUUAGUUGCACCGACAUACAAAGGUGUUUCCAUAUCAGUCGACCUCGUUUCAUACACAUGACCUUUGGCAAAAAAUUUUGCGCCAACAUCGCGGAUCAUUUCCUCCAAUUUGUCUUUAUCCGAUCGAUCUUCUUCCAUGGUGGAAUCAAUAACAUUUUCAGUUUGGGAGACAGUCGAAAAGUGUAUUUCUUCGUCGUGCCAUAUCUAUGUUGUAUAGCAUCGUAGGAAACGAUCACAGAUAAGAUAUUCCCUAAUUUGGCUUGCGUUCAACUUUCUCCCAUUCAAACAGUUCACACAAGGACAUCUAAACUUCAAUUCAUCAUCACUUCUACCCUCAUUAUGUUGCGCAAAUUGUAUAAAUUCCUCUACCGCUCUCUCGUACUCAGCACUAAUGCGUGAUAAAUUAAUCCAAUUUCUAUCCAUACGAUCCAUGUGUAAAUAUUUUGAAAUAUUCUACAAAAUUACAAUACAAAAAAUGAUUUUGUAUUGAUCAUUUAACGACAAAUUAUGGUUAAUUCAAUUCAAUCAUACAAUCAUAAAAUUGAUAAGCAUAGUACACCACCACAAAGGCAAGAACAAGACAGGAAUUUCUACAGGAAACAACACUGGAAGCCUAACUCUUUCUUAUCUCAAACAUUCAGAAAACAUGAUUGGGCAAAAAACAUGAGGAGAAAAGCUCUCUAGUUACAUGCAACCAGCAAAGUUGCAUGCCCUAGCUUCAAGAACAAUGAAAGAAAAAAGGAAAGUUACUUACCAGUCGGAAUAGAGAAAGUCACUAGUGCAGAAAGGUCUUUAGACGUCUGUUAUUUUGGGCUUUUAAUGUCUUUUUCACAACUGACGUCAUUACGGGUGACGUUAAUGGGGCGUCAAAUUUGCAUAUAACAGAUGUAUAUAUAGACGUCAAUUAGUGCCAUGCCCGACGUCAAUAGAUGUCGGUUGAGGCCUACUCCAACGUCUAAGAGCACCAUAUAGACGUCGGUGUGGGAACCAACCGAUGUCUAAGAGCACUAUAAAGACUUCGAACAUGUCACUAACCGAUGUCUAAGGUCACUAUAGACGUCGGUGUAUGCAUUAACCGAUGUCUAAUAUAGUCGUUGUGUUUUAGUGCAGUUUUGUUCCUGUCUUUGGAUAGCCUAGUAGCACACUCUGUCUUUGCUAGUUUCCCCCAAAAAAAAGCUUGCGUCAUUUGAAUUUCUCAUGACAUUUCAACCUAAAACCGAACCUGGGUUCUUGCCUAGUUCCAUUUUCAACCGCAGGAGGGAAAAAUUACAGUGAAACGAUAACUAGGCAACGACCCAGGGUCGUUUUUGGGUCGAAACAGUAUAAGAUAUCCAAAAGACGCCACUUUUUUCUGGGAGGCAGCUAGCAAAGGCAGAAUGUGGUACUACAUUAGCCCAAGAGAGGAACAAAACUGCACUAAAACACAAUGAUGAAGGUUGAAAAACAGUUAUUUUCAUAUGUCAUUUUAGACCAAAUUACUACCUUUACUGCUUAGAAUGAGCUUAUAAUCUAGCAAAACUUGAUAAAUGAUUCUGUAGAGAGUCAAAAGCUAUUUUUAGAGAUAUUAUGCUUGUUUUGCAUUGUUUUGUAGCAUUUUUGAUAAAGUGAAGAAUGGAGUUGAAGAUGAAGGUCGUAGACUCAAGAAAAGGGAAUAAAACUGAAGAAAUGAAGAGUCAACGUACUGCCCGGCGGCAAAUUACACCGCUGGGCGGUCCAGUGCGAGGAGUAGGCACCUGGCGUGGGCGGUGGGUGGAUUUGCAAUUAGAGGCAAACCAACGGGCGGUAGACCCCUACCGCCAGGCGGUAGACCCCUGCCGCCGGGCGGUAGUGCGGCUUGAGGGAAAUCGCCGGGCGGAACAAGUGUGACGUCCAGCGGUUGUCUAUUGGGCUUGGGCCUGCUUUCAGUUGUGUUCCUCACUUAUAAAUAGCCCUAGUGCGAGUUUAGAUGUAUUAUUUUGACAGAAGGGGGCGGCCAGACCUAAUUUCACUCUCUGGAGAGGAUCUCUUGGAUGCUUAGGCUCCAUUUCUUCUUAUCUAGGGUUUGCUUUUCCAUUCUUCAUCCAUUUUUCAUCUAGAUUCACCAUGACAAUGGUGAACUAAACCCUAUUGUUGUUGGGGGAAACAAUGUAAUCUUUUGAUACUCUCUUUUAUUGAAACUCUUGUUUAUUUAUAUGAUUUUCAUAUGCGUUGAUUAUUAAUUGUUGGGUUCUCAUCUGUGCUUAAUGCUUUUAUCGUUUAACUCAUUCAAUAACUGUUGUUUGUCUUUAUUGAUACGGGGACGUACAGUAAUGUCAUGAACUGGUGAGUAAUUCCUUGAUUAAGCAAUACCACCUAGGGAUAGGGGUAGGACGAUCAAUUGUUUUUCACUUCUGCUCUAUAAUGCUUUAUUAAUUGCUAGGGGAGGCUAGGAAUAGCAAGCCAGUAAUUAGUAAUAGGCUCUUUUCGCCGAGGGAUCAGGUUAAGGGUAGGCUAAGAAAGUUGGAUAAUAAUUAGUUAAUCAAGCAAAUAAAUCAAGAGGAGUAAAUAAGAGAGAGCGGAUAAGAUGAAAUUGUAAACCCCCAACAACUCCAUUCAUCCAUUGUUUUCUUCUCGUCAAUUGAAUCAAUCUCUUUUGCAUGUUUAUAGUUUGUUCUCAUACCCAAUUAACUAAUUUUUAUUUUCAAGUCUUACGAUCUUAAUUCACACGAACGAUAAGGCCUUUCAAGUCUCUUGGGAAAACGAUACUUGGACUUACCAUUUAUUAUUACUUGAUACGAUUUGGUACGCUUGCCAAUCCGUUAACACAAAACACAAGGAAAACACAUUUUAAUCAGUUGAAUCAGAAGAUAAUCGAUGAAAGACUAAUAUAAUCAGACUGAAACAAAGUUUAAACGGUUUAAAUAAAAAAAAGAUGCACCUGGAAUGCAAUGCCGCAAGAGAGAAAAAGGAGAGGAGGAAGACGAUGAUGUUUGCGUAACUGCGAGUCUAUGGUUUAUUUAACAUGAAUUUAGGCGUCGGUGGCUACAGAAACCGACGUCUAUAGUCAGCUAGACGUUGUUUAUCUCACUAAUGUGACGUCCAAGAUAACUUUUAAUCUUCCUUUUGCAUGCACCUUAGACGUCGGACACAAGGGGCUCCGACGUCUACGACGCUGAUCGAAAUGACUUUUCAAUUCCGGACAAGGAAGUAGACGAUGGUUGUCUUGGGGCACUGACGUCUAUAACAUUUUAGACAUCGGCCCCCUACUACUAGACCUCGAAGUGCCUGCGAGUAUGGUGAGUGGCAUUAAUUACUGUCACAAAGAUGUCGUUCCCCCGGAAACCAAACAUAUAUAUUACAGAAAUUGAAUGUCUUCCUGCCUUCCUGUCAGGCCCAUUGACGUCAUGUUAAGGGAGCAUAGACGUCUAUAACAUUAUAGACGUCGAUUAUUUAUUACGUGACAUCUAAGUGCCUAAGAAUCGGGUGAAGAGUAUUAAUUGCAGCUAGAUAGACGUUUCCCCCCCCCCUCACAACCAACGUCAAUGGGGUAGAAAAGACUGUCUUCUCGCCUACCUGUCAGGCCCUUGGACGUCUGGUUAGGGUAGAAUAGACGUCUACUAAAUUAUAGACAUCGUUUGUCCUAGAAACCGACGUCUUGGUUACAACUUAUUUACGGUAAUGCCACUGUCCAUUAAUAUACGUCGAGCCACCCGUUAACCGACAUCUUGUCGGUGACAUUAAACAUUGUUUUUGCACUAGUAAGUGAUCGGUCUAAAAUGUAGCCCUCUACGCGGUGAACGCUUGAGCACCUUCAGAUUGAAGAUUGAACGGUUCAGUGAACUGAUAUUUUAGAGAGAAGGCAGAGUAAAUUUAGGGAAAAUAAGAGUUCCAGAGAGAGAGGGUUUAAGCUUAAUGAACUCGGACUUUGGGAUACUCUUUCUAAAGUCAAUGUGCCUCAAUGUUUAAAGCCCGGGUACCUCACACAAAUCCCAAUAUCCAUUGGCCCAAUUUUCAGGUCUUCACAAGAAACACUAAUAAUUUAAUAUCAAUUUUGAAACAACAUGAAAAACUCAUAAUUUAGUAUUGAUGUUAUUUAACGGAUGUGAAAAAUCUAAUAUAUAAAUGUUGGGUGUACUAUAAUAGAUGUUAAAUGUAUUGUUGUGCUUCAUAUCUUACAUUGAGUAUGGAAUAACUAACACAUAAAGUAGGGGUUUUUAAAUAUGCUUUUUAUUUUAGGAGAAUUUACUAAAAAAUAAAAGGUGUAAUGGUGAUUAUUUUUCUAAUAUAUAAUGUCAUUUAUAACCAUCGUUGUUUACAUAUCUUUCGGUUCUCCCAUACUACCAAGCCUUACAUAUCUCAACCACUUUCUCUAUGCCAGAAUUAGCCACUGCUAUUGUAAAUUUUGCUCAAAUCUUUUCGUGCAGCAUUUUAUCAUUCUAUAAAUUAACAUCAUCACAUAACAUAAGAGAGAACACAUAUACAUCAUUGAAAAUGCAAGUAUUUUGCUUUAUAUUCAUAUGUUUGAUGAAAUCUUUUCAUCACAGACAUUUGCAAUUUUCGUAAUGUGCACUAGUACAAUUAAAGGAUUAGGUACCGGUUAUAUUGAGUCAUAGACAUCGGUUUGAGAACUGAGUCAUAUGUAGACGAGGUAGAUAGUUAGUAAGAUUUGUCUCGGCUCUGUUUAACCAAAGCAGUAUUCAGGAUUCGACUCGUUUCACUUUAAACCGAGGCAGUAUCAGGUCUUCCAGAUUUUCAGAUUUCCAGAUUGGGUAUCCUUCGCGAAUGUCAUCCCCUGGAACCAAAAAUGGAAGCAGGGAGAUCUCGUUCCGCUCAAAUCCUCACUAGUCAAGGAAGACCUUCCGCUUAGUUAGGACUCUCUUUCAGGGAGACUCAUUGAUCUUAUAGGAAGCAGAAAUGGUUGGAGACAUGAAAUUCUUUGAGCACUUUGAGCAAACAGCUAGAGAUCGAACCUUCAUAGGUUUCAAAAUUUGAUCUUUCCCAUUUUCUUUAUCAUCCAAGGAGUCUAGAAAAAUCUGCAGGAUACCAACAAAACCUCUUCUAUAAAAAUAUGCAAAAUACUUGGAGGAGAACCAUGGCGACGGCGUAAUUGGAGGGUAGGGAGAGAUUGGAGAGGGCGAUAUGAGCCUCCAUGUGCGAACACUGAACGGAAGCCCUAAAUCAGAAUCGCGUCAUUGCUUGCCUCCACCUGCAACCACAAUCAGACCUGCAGAAAUCAGAUUUAAUCCGCGGUGGCUGGAAACCCUAAAUCGGAAGCCCUAAAUCAAAAUGGAAGAAGGUUGAAACACGGUGACUGGCGCGACAGUGGAGAAGAGGGGUAUGGAUAUGUCUGAGUUUUCCUCUUUGCAAGUACUUGCGUGCGCGAGGAGGACGAAGGUUGCGUUCUUCGAUUGACGGCCAUGGAUGUUCUCAUGGCGGAGAAGAUGAAGGUGGUGGUCGCGGCGUCCAUGGAGUUUGGACGAGAAAGAAGGUGUUGUGGUGGCGGCUUUGGGUGGCGGCUUGCGAGUUUGCGCAUGGUGGUCGGUGGCGUGCGGGUUUGCGCAUGGUAGCCGGCGGCGUGGUUGAACGAUGGUGCUUUGCAGCAACCCUAAUGGGUGUUGAUGGUGGCGCCCUAAUGCUGGGGUGUGGUGGAGAGGAGAAAUCGCGAUGAGGCUGAGGGAGGCAAAGAUGAGAGAGAAAUCACGAGAGUGCCUAAGGGCUAUUUUAUGGUGGGGCCUGACAGCUUUUUUGAUUUUAACCUAAGGCUAUUAACUCGGUUAUAUUUAAAACUGGUGCGUAAACCCUUUAACUGCAUCAGUUCCAUAGCAAACCAGUGUCUAAACUAUUUAAAAUUCAUAUUACAUGCCUCGAUUGGUCUUUUACUCGAGAUACUAGCAUCUAUAGGCAUCGAUUCCUAUAUAACCGAAGUAUAUAACCACUCAAUAUUUACAGAAAUGCCACCACACUUUCAUACGCUUCGGUCAUAGUAAAACCAAAACAUAUAUAAAACGAGUUAAUAAAGUUUUUUUUUACUAGUAGUAUUUCAUAUUUUUGUUUUUAAUCUCAGUAUAAUCUUUAAUUUUAUUAUAAAAAUUGAUAUUGUCUGUUUCAUUAAAUUAAUCCUAACAUACUUUAAAUAAUAAUAUAUGAUAAUAUAAAUGACACAUAAAUUGUCCAAUAUAAAUAAAUUAUCGUACGUAAAUACCACAUAUAAUUUCAUUAUUAUAUUGUUUUGAGAAUGACAAUAGUAUAAAUAACACGUAUAGAUACACGUGGCAUUGUUGAAUAUAGAUAAAUUGUUCAAGAGGACAUCAACUUUUUUUACUAUACAACUUAUUUAUACUAUCAGAUUGGCACCUCUAAAUUAUAUCAAUAUAAAUUAAGGGACUAUGUAUAAUCUUUUUAAUAAAAUUGACAAUUACUAUGUGAUAGAAAAGAAAAAAAAUUUAAUGAUCAUAUUAAAUAAUUCUAAAAAUAAUGGGAAAAGAAACUUAAACAUAAUUUAUUCCAUUUCAUUUUUAUAGAAGGAAAAGAAUAGUACUUUUACUUGUAAUUAAGUAACAAUGAGAUUAUCAUACACAUAAAAAUAAAAGAUUAAAAGUUAUUCAUUUAAUUAAAGUGAAUAUUGAUUCAUUUUAUUGAUUUGAAAAGUCCAUUCGGUGCUGUUCUCUUCCGUAAAAGAUAGUAAACACCCAUACGUAGUUUCUAAAUCACAAAUACCAAUUUCACAUAUAUCCUUGUAUAAUAUAUAGAAUGGCUAUCGUAAUCAUGUGCAAUCCUGUACAAUAGAGAUGGGAGAUUCCUUUUUCUUAAUUUUUUUAUACCCAAAAGAAAACGUACUUCUUAAUAUAUAAAAAGAAUUCACAACAUAAAGAAGUUAAAAAUAGGGUGUGGUUGGUUAAAGAUACCUUCAAUGAAAAUUUUGUUCAAAUAAAGCAUAUAUUUCUUUGGUAAAAGAUAAAGUUUGAAAUUCAAUAAUUGAAUUUAAGGUAACAUUUGACUAAGUACAAACUUUUAUUAGGUGUCCUCUAAGGCAUAUUGAAGUGUCACUCAGCGGAUAAUAGUGCAGAAACAGUUAGCAGAGAGUAAUGCCAUACCGUAUCCCAAGUUCCUCGAGAUGUUCAACCAUUGAAUUCUCACAACCACCACCUACUCAAACGUCCAUAGAAAAACCCUAUAUAAACACCACAACCCAAAACCCUAAAACUCACUAAUUACUCAUCAUCAUCAAUCAUUUCAUCUUCAGAAGCAUUUUUCAGUUCACUUUGAAAAUGGCCAGUGUUAAGUUUGCAUGCAUGGUGGUGAUGUUCAUGGUGGUAGUGGGUUCACGCAGUGCUGAGGGAAUGACGUGUGGCCAAGUUCAGGGCAACCUAGCACAAUGCAUAGGGUUCCUUCAAAAGGGCGGUGUUGUUCCCCCAUCAUGCUGCACGGGGGUGAAGAAUAUCCUGAACAGUUCCAGAACCACCGCUGAUCGCCGAGCCGUUUGUAGCUGCUUGAAGGCUGCUGCUGGUGCAGUUCGUGGGAUCAAUCCCAAUAAUGCUGAGGCUCUCCCUGGGAAGUGUGGGGUCAACAUACCCUACAAGAUCAGCACCUCCACCAACUGUAACAGGUAUAUAUAUACUAUUUUGAGGUCUCAAGUUCACUCUUGUUUUCACUUUUUAAGUCUUUCUUACACUAUGAUAAAGUUUUAACUAAACUUAGAGUUUUAAGUCAAUUUCGAUUUGUAUGAUAAAGUUUACAUCAUGUAUAAAGUAUUGAAGGUGGUUGGUGUUUUGUUUUGUAGCAUCAAUUGAAGGGAGACAGAUUUGGAUGGAUUGGCUAAGAGAAACCAUGCUAUGCUACAUGUUAGUAAAGAGAAUAAAAGGAGGAUAGGAGUCUCCAUUUAUGGGAGCUAGUUUCUUGUUUUGUGUUCUAUAUUCCAGUGUGAAGUUUAUACACUUCCUUUGGAUGUUAUGUGAAACUUUAUAAAGUGAAUAAAAGAAGUUUGAUGUUGAAAGUUUGAUGUUCAUUGUGAAAUUUACCAAAGCUCUUAUUCGUGGUGAGAUUGAUCUAUUCUGUCACAAUGUAUUAGGUAAUUGGUAAUGGCAAUGAUAAUAUAUAAUUUGUUCAUCUGAUGCAGGACUAAUUACCUGUGAAUGUCAUUACUUAUUUUGUUGUUGAACUUAAAUCACUUUACCAAGAAAAGGUAGUCUUAAUUUUUUGUUUCUAGUUUUACAAACCUAAUAAAAUUUAUAUUAUGACAAUUUAUAAAAUUAAUAGAAAGAAUGAUUAUUAAGUAAAACAUUGUUCUUUAAAAAGAGACUUUUUUUUUAUUAUUAAUCUAUCCUUUAAAUGGAACAAAAUAAUAAAUAAUAAAAUUAUUUCAAAAACUCUUUAGUUUUUAAAAUUGAUACUUGAACUUUUUGGAACAAGUGAAAUUUAGUAAUGUUCCAUUACAUAAAUGAAAUUAAUAAUCGAUAGACCCUAUCUUUAUUAUUAAUACAAGAAAUUAGUCCUUUUUAUAGAAUCCCACUGAAUUAAACUUGCAAAUUAUUAACAGGUUUCAAUACAUUAUGAUUAAUUGAUUUUCUUAAAUAGUUUUUAUAAAUUUAAUUUCUUCUAUAAUAAAUCUUAUUUUUUAAUUUUAACAGAUUUUAAUCAACACUAGAAGAUAUACUAUUUACAUCUUGGAACACCCAAAAACCAUUUCUCUAGAGACCAAAACGAAAGAAAGCAAAGGUGAAGUUGUUGUAGGGCAAAGAGGAAUAAAGACUUGUUCUUCCAAACGCUCAUGUUUUAAAAUAAUUAUUUUACCCUUAAAUAAAGGUGACUUUUGAAUUACCAAUUCUAAAAAUUAUCAAAAAAAAACAAAUUUUCAAGAACAAAAUUUUCUUAACAUAGUUUCCAGAACAGUGUUUCUAGAAUAGAAUUUAUAAACCAGGAUUUCAAGAACAAGUUUUCUUCAAAAGGAACUUUAUAACAAGAUUUUUUGAAUAAGCUUAUCGAAUCAUGAAACAUUGUUUGGAUUCAGCUUUUCAGAACAUGAUUUCUAGAACAAAUAAACAUUUUUGGAUUCAACUUUUCAGAACAUGAUUUCUAGAACAAAUUUUGUAGAAUAUACAAAAGACAUUUCGGAACAGGCGUUUUGGAGCAAGAUUUUUGGAACAAGAUACCUUUCAGAACAGAGGUGGCUGCAUGGUGCAACAAAAAGGGUAUUUUAGUCUAUUUGCUUUCAUCAUAGAGGUACAGUUAGUAAUGGGAUGUAGGAAGAAGAACAUAGAAAUAACAGGUCCUAUCAAUUUGGGUUUUCAGACCCAACUUUUUCUUUCUUACAAAAAAUUACAGAUGCAACUUUCUCCAACCCGUUUUAUUUUGUGGGAAAAUUGACUUUUCAAAAUACAUUAAUACACCAGGGAUUUCAUAAGAAAACUAUGAACAAAAUAUUCCAAAGCUUCACUCAUUCUUUCUCAUUCCAGAAUAAUUUUUUUGAACUAUAAAAUUCAUAUUUUAAAAUACUAAUUCCAAAGUAAAGUAGUAGAAAGAGUAUAGUAAAUUAUGAAAUGCUGUAUUUCCAUAAAAAGAAUGUUUAUUUUUAAUUAUUUUUCACCUAAUGGCGAGUCAUAAAUGAGUAUUAUCCACGUGUAAAUGUGUCGGUAGAUGAGUAAUAUCGUUUUAAUAAAUAUAAAUGGAUUGUUGGUAAUUUAAAUAAGGUCAUUAUGUGAGUUAUCUAUAAACAGUAUGUUAAAUGAUCAUGAUUAAAGAAAGUUCUUUACAUGACAUGAAUAAAUAGUGUAUAAAUUCUUUUCAUCAAGUUUGAAAACAAAAAUAUUUUAUUAUGAUGUAUGACUUUUUGUACAGCAUUAAUGAGAGAUCUACCGACCUGAUAUUUUUGCAGAAUGUGUAGGACCUAUACCUAUGACUCAUGGAUAUGUAGGACCUAAACUUAUGUACAUGUUACACUUACUGACCACACAUGCCUUGCUUUCCAAAGAGGGUAGGCUAAAGUAUAAGAACAGGGUCCAUCUACCAUAACAGCAUUUAUUACUCACAUAUUCACACUCCCUGGACCAUUUCAUGGAUCUUCUACUGUUUCAGCUUUGUGCCCUAGCUUUGAAGGGCAAAGUUCUUGUUACUUCCAUUGCUAGAGACAAAAGAAUAAAAGAAUAAAAAGAAAAAGAGAAAGAAAUAGUUGGAAAAAAGGAAAUUAUUUUAAUUAAGUAUAAAUCAUGUUAUUGAAGUAUAUACAUGCAUAAAUCCACCCUGAGAUUUGUUUGUAUAAUUCAUACUUUUAAAAGGACUUUAAUUUUUGUCAUGUUUAUUUAUCAUGUGAAAUUGGCAUGUGAGUCCAAGUUAAUAUAUAUAUAUAUAUAUAUAAUCAACUAAUGAAAAAAAAAGUAGAUUUGUUGAUUGAUAGAUUACGAAUUUGUAAAAGAAAAAUAAAAAUUGUUUGAAUAGUUAUCUAAAUAUAAAAAGAAAAAAAAAAACUUUACUCAUGUGAGGAUGGUUUAACCUAAUUUUUCUUAUUAUCCUAUUAUUUUAAUGAUUUACGAUAAUUUUAGAAAGAAUAGGGAAAAUGAUUAUAAAAAAAACAACAAACAUAUAAGUUAUUUAACAUAUACUACAGGCAAAAACAACUAGAUGUAACUAUAAAUUAUAAUAGUUUGAAGUUAGAAAAACUGUAAUAUAGAUUAAUCUGUUGAUAAAUUUGCUGUCCUUUUAAAGAAAUGAUGUUGAAGGAAGCUAUCUAAAAGCAAUUUCCAAUUGUUCCCAGUUUGAGCGGGACCAAUUUAAACCGCUAUUAGUUGAACAAGUCAUUUCUUCAUUAAUUUCCUCUUCUUAUGUACAGUUGAGGUUGGUGAGUAUACUGGCCCACUGUGUAAAUAAUUUAUAGGAUUCUUUUUCACUAAAUUAUUAACAUGUAAAUUUAAAAUUAAUUUUAUUCUAUAACUCUUUUAUCAUAUUUGUUUGGUGAGCGUGAAAUUGCGUUGAAAUAGGAUGAAGGAAAAAAAAAGGUAUAAUUUAAAUGUAUGCGGUGGAGAUAUUGAAUCAAAUCCCUUUUAAUGAUGUUACUUAAAAUCUUAUUUUCUAAAAUCGUAUUUUAAAUUUAUAUUUUAUAAAAAAAUUAUUUCAAAAUAAUUUUUAUUUAAUUCAUGUAUUAUUUCGAUAGCUCAUUUUUUACUAAUUGAACCCCAUGUUUGUCCUAUAUUCGGAUGAAAUGAAGAGAAGAGAGAAAGCGAAAAUGAGAGAAAAAAAACAAAAAGAAAACAAAAAUUAGUAGAAAAUAAAAAUUAUUUAAAUUAAAAGAAAGAGAAUGAAAAUUUUAGAAAGUAUAAUAAAUUUAUUGAUUAUUUUAUAAUUAUUUAUCAUUGUUAGGAUAGAAAAAACAAAAAAAGCAAUACUUAUAAUAGAUUAUGUUUUUCCUUGGAUAAUCGUUUAUGGGGUUAGUUUACACUUUUAAUUAUUAAAAAAAUCAAUAAAAUAAUCAAUUAUAUUUAUAAUAUACGUAUUUUCAUAAAAUUAAAAAGAAAAAAAAAACAUUAUUACCUAUAAUAACGUUAAGAGGUAAACGUAUACAUCAACCUCUUCAUUCUGUUACGGCAAAAAAUAUUAAUGCUUUAAUUUCAAGUUCUCAGAGAUAACAUUAUUACCGUCAACACUUCAGAUGUUGUUCUCUUUAAAAUUUAAUACAGAUCUUUGUCAUCGAAAUACACUUUAAUGUACCAAUAGGUAUAUAAAAUACCUUUGAUUUUAAACAUUACUACAAAUCAACCAAAUUUACGAAUUACUUUAACGUCAUCGGAAGUUUUUAUUUUCACUCAGAAUUUUAAACAUGUCUCUUUCUUUUUUCUAUCUUAAUUGAAUUAUUAUUUUGUAAAAUUAAAUCAAAUAGAAACUUUCCGUCAAAUUGAGAAGAUACCGUUAAAAAGGAUAUUAGGUGACAUGCUGAGGGUAUUAUUUUAGAUAACGUGACAUUUUAUACAUAAUUGUAAUGUGUAUUUUAUAACUUUUAAAUUAAAAAAUUAAGGACAAAUUGGAAAAAAAAGAGUUAAAAAAUGCUCUUUUCUCUCUGAGGAAUGAAAUUAUGGUUCCUUGGAGAUAGGCAAAACACAAUUUAAGAGUUUUCUGCAAUGGAGUUAAUGCGGUUUGUAUAUUGUUUUCUUUUUGGAUAAAGAGUUUAUUUUUUGUAAUUUUACUUAUGAAAUCCAGAUACACAUUAAUUACAAGUUAUCACGAUUCUUAAUAUGGAAGAAAAAAAGUAUAUUGCUCGUAAAUGUCAUCUCUCAGUUUUUAAUGUUUUUGAUGGUCUAGUUGAUGGAAUAUGCUUCACUUGGUUGUGCAGAAGUCGUGGGAACAUAGAGAUUAGAGAGAAGAAAUAGGUUGAUAAAUAAAAAAUGUGGUAUAUUUAAAAGAGGGAAACCACAUCAGAACAAUCCACCAAAACCCUAAAUCCAUAGUCAGCCACCACACCGUUCAACCACCAUCGCAGGAAAACCAUCAGAACCACGUUGGACCUCCGUUCACUUCAAAUGCAUCUCGCAACAGCCACCAGCACUGGAAAAACCAUUGUGAGCUUGCAUCAUCCUCACUGAACUACCUCGCGAGCCAUGUGUGAAGGCUCCAUCACAAUGCGAACCAGAUCUCUGCACCAGAGUCACACCACCACGAAACAAAAACAACACCAUCCCCAGCCCCAAAACUCCUCUGCACAAACCCUAAUCGCGAAAGAUAUGACCGCGCCGGAAAGGAGAUCGAAAUCGCAAGCCAUCAACAGAGCAACCCAAACCCGACGAACAAAAAUGCAAACAACUCAAAAUCAGAUUGUUCUUUGCAAUUGAAAUCAGAGAAGGGAGCAACCUUUAAUUUCUUUCUCAAUUUACCCUCAAUUUUUUAAUUUAGAAAUUGCAAAAUACAUGUCACAAUUAUGUAUAAACUAACACAUCAUUUAAAACAACACCCUCAGCAUGCCAUGUAAUACCGUCUUUAACGACGUCUUCUCAAUUUGAUGGAAAAUUUUUAUUUGGUUCAAUUUUACAAAAAUAAGGACCCAAUUGAGAUGCCGAAAAAAAAGGAACCUAUUUAAGAUUCUAGAUGAAAAUAGAAACAUAUGGUGACAUUAAAUCUAUAAGUUAAAAUCAUGAAUUGAGGUGUAUACUUUUAAAGAUUUUUAAUAUCAAACUAAAUCAUUUUUAUAAUACUCAGACUUAGUUUUUCAACAGUAAUUAUAUAACUUAGUAAAUUUUGUACAUUCACAACUUAGAAAUUGUACGAGUAAAUAUUAAAAAAGAUAUUAAUUACAAAUUGGGAGUAGUUUUUUAAUGUGUAAAUAGUUUUUUUUUUUUUUAUAGAGAACAUUAAUUAUAGCAAAAACUUAUAAAUACAUGUCACUAUAUAUACUCGCUAAAACACUGAUGAACUGACUCGCAUCUCAACCCAUAUUUACAAAAUAACUUAAAACAAACCCGUUAAGUAUAAGUAAAUUUGUAGAAACAAUUAGUUUUAUGCCUACUGGUGCUAAAAUAGUACAGCGACAUACACUGAAAAAUGUGAGCAGAAAAUAAACCAGAGAUUUAAACUUAUUAAAAUAUUGCUGACCUAGCAAAAAAACACCACGAGGAUUACGUAUAUGAAUCAAAUUUUGUAAUUAAAACAUUAUUUUUAGGAGAAAAAAAGGUUAAGGAAUAAUGAAUCCAACAUUUAUAAAAAAAGAAACUUUUACAAAUAAACUACAGAUAAUUAAAAUUAGAUGUUACUGAAUUAAUAGGGUAUACCAAUUAGGGAGAUAAUAUCUUGUUCUCUAGGCUUUAUUAUGUAAAUAGAAAAUGUACAUUUAGCUUUUCUUUUCACAUUUCCCUUUUACACCAUGUCAUGUCACUCAUUAUUUUGUAAAUAGAAAAUGUUUCUUUAUCUUUCUUCUUUUUAUGCCAUUAACCCUAAAAUUUAGUAGCAGUAUGUGCUUCCAUCCGAGCCAAUCAGUAGAUGCAAUGCAAUGGAUUCGCCAUUUUCGGAAUUCGGUGCCGUGACUAACGUUGCUUUGGUCUUUUCCCAUACCAGCAAAAACUGAACUUUGCUACAAACACUGCUACUACAGUAUUACUCGAAAACAGUGAUGUAAGUAACCCAUUCAAAACCUGUCAAUUUUGGUGCAGUAAAUACAAAGAGUGAAACUUUGACCAGUGCCUUGGCCUUAACCAUCCCAUUCAACUGUUACAAAAUCUACCGUCACAUUAUGCCAGGUUUGCUCAACGAUUAGACCAUCUACCACACUGCAUUAAAUUUUUCUCAACUACCACCGAACCAAAGCCUGUCACAACCACUUGUGUAUUUGUGCUCACAAAUUCCUUGUCAGAAGAGGAUCAUGUACAUGUAAAAUUAUGCAGAAAACUUUUUUUUGAGGAAAAUAAAAUUUUAACACCAUUUUUUGACACCAUUUUAACACUGCACACGUGUCAAAAUAUGGUUGGACGAUUUCAAAUUAAAAAACAAACUUUGGUUUUUUUCUUCCAAACAUACCCCUGUCUCAACUUUUUUAAUUUGAAAUCGUCCAAUCACAUUUUGACACGUGUACAAUGUCAAAAUAUUUUAUUUCUUAAUUUUUAAAUCACAAUAAUUAAAUUAAUUAAAGAAGAACAGAAGUCGUAACCAUAUUUAGUUACGAUGAUGGCCAACCUAAUAACUUCUUAGUACUAUCUCAUGCUCUAUAUAAACCCUACUCUUGUCCAACUUUACUUACCAAGCACUAAGCAAGAGACUCACCAAAACCAAACAUAUAUUGUGAUACUUUCCUUCUCAUUUGUUCCUCUGAUCUGUGGCGAUGGCUAGCCUGAAGGUUGCAUGCAUGGUUGCGGUGGUGUUCAUGGUCGUGGUGAGUGCACAUAUGGCACAUGCGAUCACGUGCGGGCAAGUGGCCUCUUCUUUGGCUCCAUGCAUCUCCUACCUCCAAAAGGGCGGAGUUCCGUCGGCGUCGUGUUGCAGCGGAGUGAAGGCCCUGAACAGCGCCGCAAGUACCACCGCUGACCGCAAAACCGCGUGCAACUGUCUGAAAAACCUUGCCGGUCCAAAGUCGGGUAUCAACGAGGGCAACGCCGCUUCACUCCCAGGCAAAUGUAAAGUCAACGUGCCCUACAAGAUCAGCACCUCCACCAACUGCGCUAAGUAUGUUCAACACACCACUUAUUUCCUCACACAUUUCUUUCACUAACAGCCUCAUUGCGCUAAUUACUCUAAUUAAUUCACAUACUCACAGGUCUUAGCUACUUGUGUUCUACUUAAUUAAACGGUUCAGAGUUUCUGAUGAUGAUACCCUUGUUAAAUAUAGUAACUUUAGAUCACAAUUACACUCUCUCUAAUAUAUCUCAACACAUUUCCAGAAAAAAGAAAACAUUUUUGCAGUUAGAUGUAGGAGAAGAGAUCAAUGGUUAAGGUGUCCACAUUUACUGUGUAAACGUAUUUUAAAAAUUAUUGCUCCUGAAAAUGCUUUCCAUUUUUUUGUUUAGUUGUUUCUUUUUACUAUCCAUAUCUAAGAAUUUGGAGGAGACUCUCCAAGGAAAUAUAUUGCUAAGAUGUUUAAAAUGUUGACUUUUUAUUUGUCAUUUAGCACUGCAUAAGAAAUCUGUUUAUAUAAACAAACGACAUAAAUAAGAAAAAAGAUAAUGUUUUGAAAGAUAAGGACCACAAAUAUGCAUUCUCAUUAAUUAGAGGACAGAGACUCUGUAAACAACAUGUUCAAUGUAUUACAGGAAAGACUCAGUUAACAAACUGACUUAGACUUAUGUUCUACUACUUUAUAGAUGAUAAACCUAAUGAAGUUGAGUUAUACCUGAAAGUGUAUUUAACCUCCUUAAUGGUUAGUUAAAAUUUCUUGAGAGUUUUCUGAUAAAUAGUUAAAAAUAUGUUGUGAAGUUGUAGAACUAGGAUCUUGCAUUCAUUUUUUAAGUAUGAAAGUUUGAUGGUUAUGUUUAAGCUGAUGUGUUUGAUGGUUUGUGAAAUAUUGCAGCAUCAAGUAAAAGAUGGAUAUGGUAAAAGGAAGAGAUGGCAAGGAGGGAAAUUUUUCAGUGGCAGAAUAUAUGAUAGUACCGUAGACAUAGGUAAUGAAAAAUAAAGGGAAGCCGACGAGGGCUCCACUUGUGCGAGUCUCUCUUGGUGUCGGUGUGUGUCCCUUAGUUGUUUCAAACGUUGUUCCACUUUUGUUAUGUCUUCUGAAAUUUGUCUCCGUCCGUUGGUUGUUUCAUGUAAUAAUGAUAUAUAUUAUAGCACUGUAAUUCCUUCCUACUUUUCCUUUUAUGAUUUUUCGUAUUGGUCUUAAUGGUUCUUCUCACCCAAUCUAUGUUU
rnacentral:lncRNA from 1 species